CAUUUACCACUAAGAAAACAAUGGGAAAAUAUAGGUGAGAGUAAAGUUCAAAAAUCGCAUUAUAAUGGUCAAAACCAAGUAGUAGUCCCUAUUUAUGAUAAAAAUUUUAUGGUCAAAGGACUCCAGAAACAAUUAAUAUCUGAAAAAAAUUCAAUUUAUUUCACUUACUUCUGAGGAGCUGUGUGUUUCUAAGAAUAUAUCCACAGCCAUUUUUGAAGUGAAAAGAAAUGUGGAAAUUUUGAAAUCUGGUCCAUGCAUCAGUUUUUACCUUGGCCAAUUAUAAAUGUAGCACCGAGUUAAACUUCUAUUCAAACAUUUGCACAGAGAAGGUAUUUUUAAAAGUGAUAAUUUGAGAGUUUCUUUACAAAAUGUCAAUUUUUCUGCAACAAAAGAGCAAUUUCUCCUUGUGCCCAAAUAGACAAUAUUAGGAAUUGUAGAAAGUUUUCUAAUUCCUCACUAUUGCUCAAUGAUAAUUCUGAUACAGAUUUCUGGGAAGUGCACUAUAUAAAUAAUGCUAUAAGUGACACCAUUAGCCAUGUCUAUACCCUGAGUAAUUACCAGUAUAUUUACAUUGGUGAUAAAAAUUAUGAACAUAGAGAAACCCCUAGUCAUUUUCUAAAGGAAAUUUACCAAGAUAAAAAAUAUGGGAAAGUUUGCCUCAGUGCUCUAAAAAUAUUACUAAUCCAAAUAUUCAUAGUUAAGACAAAACUUGCAAGUGUAAGGUAUGUGAAAGGGCUCUUAAUCACAGUGCAGAGCUUGCUCAAUACAAGAGAAUUUAUAGAGAAAGACAGCCCUAUACGUUUAAAGAAUGUAUCAAAGCAUGGGCUUGCUCAGCAUCUUCUAAACACAGUAGAUACUAUGACACUGAUAAACCCUAUAAAUUUAAAGAAUGUGAAAAAACUUUUAGUGAAAGGUUACAACUUGUUAAGCAUCAGAGAAUUUAUACUGAAGAAAAGAGCUGUAAAUGUAAAAGUGUGGCAAAGCCUUAAAAAUUUUUCAACACUUACUCAACACCAAAAAUUUAUUCUGCAGAGAAGACCUACCAAUGUGAAGAAUGCAAUGCACUCAAGAGCUUUACUCAACAUCACAGUGUUCAUACAAGAGAUAUGACAUGCAAAUGCAAAGAAUGUGACAAAACUUCUAAUAAAAGCCCAAUCUUAUUUUUCACCAGUAGACACACCCUGCAGAGAUUCCCGACAUAUGUAAACAAUUUUGCAAAGCUUUUAGUCAAAAACCAAGCCUUAAAAAUCACCAGAGAAUUCAUACUGGAGAGAAGCCCUACAAAUGUAAAGUGUGUGGCAAAAGUUUUAAUAGAAACUCACAUCUUGAUUGCCACAACAGGAUUCAUACUGGAGAGAAGCCCUAUAAAUGUAAAGUGUGUGGCAAGAGUUUGAGUCACAAAUUGUCACUUACUCAGCACCAGUGACUCCACACUGGAGACAAGCCCUACAAAUGUAAAGAGUGUGGCAUAGCUUUUAUUAGCAACUCCCAGCUAAAUCAUUACAAAAGGAUUCAUCCUGGAGAGAAGCCCUACAAAUGUAAAGUGUGUGGCAAGAGUUUUAAUCAAAAAUCAUCACUUACUCAACACCAGUGAAUCCACACUGGAGAGAAGCCCGACAACUAUAAAAAAUGUGGCAAACCUUUCAAGAGCAUCUCACAGUGUAAUUGGCACAAAAGUGUUCAUACUGGAGAGAAGCCCUACAAAUGUAAUGUGUGUGGCAAGAGUUUCAGUCAAAAAUCAUCACUUACUCAGCACCAGCGAAUCCACACUGGAGAGAAGCCCUACAAAUGUAAAGAAUGUGACAAAAGUUUUAAUCAAAAAAUUACUUAUUCAGCACCAGAGGAUACACACUGGAGAGAAGCCCUACAACUGUAAAGAAUGAGGCAAGAGUUUUCAUCACAAAUCAUCACUUACUCAGCACCAGAGAAUCCACACUGGAGAGAAGCCCUACAAAUGUAGAGAAUGUGACAAAGAUUUUAAUAAAAAAUCAACACUUACUCAACACCAGAGAACCCAUACUAGAGAGAAGUCCUAUAAAUGUGAAGAAUGGCAAAGCUUUUAAAAUUAAAGAUCACAUCUUACUAAACAUUAUAGAUUUUAUUCUGGAGAGAACUUUUACAAGUGAAAACAUUGAAUCAGUGUCUUCAAGGAUGAAUCAACCCUUAUUUCACAGUAGUUCAACACUAUUUAACACCAGAGAUAUGAUAGCACAGAAAUUAUACAAGUGUAAAAUAGGUGUCAGAGUCUCCAACAGUUAUUCACACCCUACUCAGGACCUCAGAAUUCAUACGAGUGAGAGGACAUGUGGAAAAACUUUUGCAAAGCUUUUGGCCAUUGAUCAAACAUUUUUAAAACACUAGAGGAUUUAUGGCAUAUAGAAACGUAAAGAAUGUGUCCAAGACUGUAUUCAAAUUUCAGACAUUUUUCAAUUUCUGAUCCCAUACCUGUAGCAAAUGUGGAGUAGCAUUUGUCCAAAGUAUGUACCUUAGAUAACAGCAAAAUAUUUACAAAACACCUUGACAAAUACAACAACUGUAAGUGUCUUAUGUAUAGCCCAUCUCUUGAAGUAUUUGGGACCUAGGAGGGAAAAAAUCAUUUAAAUGUAGAAAAUGGGUAAUUGCUUUUGAUAUUUGCUGAAAAUUUUCUUAACAACUUUAGCUGAUAUUGUAGAAAUAAUGAAAUACAAAUAUAGAAUAGUGCAUCCCUAAAUGGAUAUAAUUUUACUAUAAAUCAACAAUUACUAAAUAUUCUCAUUUCUCACAAUUGGAGAAAACAUAAUUCUCAUAGUUGAUUAUUUCAGAAAUGUCUUAAGAUUAUAUGAAGCUUUAAAUGUUUAAUUUUUAGUUUUGAACUUAGGGGCACUUAAUCAGUAAACUGCAUCCCCAGAUUUUUUUUCAUCAUUUUUAUUUAGAGAUAUGGUCUGCUAAGUUGGUUAGGGCCUCAGUAAGUUAUGGAGCCUGGCUUUGAACUUGAAAAACGCCUUCUGUAGUUCCUCAAGGGUCACUGGCAUGGACCACCAUGCCUGUUGUAUAGAGCAUUUUUACUUAUAUUUGCAUUACAUAUGUAAUUUGUUACUAAAUAAAAAUUGUGAAUUUUUAAUGUUAACCAUGUCAUGCAUUUAAUGAUGUUAUUAGGUCACAUACUUCCCACUAUUCACUUUGCUAAUGGAGCGAUGCAAUAGUAAAAUAUUCUAUUGGGUAAAAAAUGCUAUAACAUCUCCAUUAAUUAUUUCAUGUUUAAUCAAGUUUUAUUUGGGGAAUAUUAUUUAUGUAAAUUACCUUUGAAAUUAUGGAAAAAUUCCAACAGUUAUAGGAAGGACCUAGGGAUACUAAAAUAAUGCCCAGGUAUCCCUAGUUUGAAUGACAACUUUAACAUUUCACCUUACAAAGUUGCAGUACUCCCUAAGGGAUCUACAACUCUGGAGAGUUGCACAAGCUCCCAGUCAGGGAGAGGAGAAAGACCCAAGAGACUAGGAGCCAAUUUGCAUAUUCAGGUAAAAAGAGGGUUGCUGAAUGGGGAAAUAUUCUCAAUGUUUCCUGAGGAAACCAUGUGGUCUACAGGCCCAUCCUGACCCUUGGACUGAAGAAACCAUGCAGUUCCUCAUGAAUACCAUGACGUUCAUCACUGAGGAGACUAGAAUGACCUCAAUUGUAGGAAAAACCUACCAAUAUAGGACCAUCUCUUUAGUCUUGGAUACCCACUAGAAAAGUGUAACCAGAUACAUGUAAAAUGAUGACUGUAAAAGAAAAAGACACACUAUAGGAGCAUUUAUGCCCCCACAUUUUUAUUUCAUUCUAUAUUUUGAUUUUCUAGAACUUUUUCAUUCUAUUUAAUAACUUACAAUAUAAUAUUUGCUAUACUUAUUGGAUUAUAUGAUAGAUAGUAUUAUCCUGGUCUCCCAGACCCCUCUGCAACCCAGUAAUUAUAAGAUACUAGAAACUAACCCUGUCCCUCCUCAGAUCUUAAAGCUCCAAGAGCCCAUGACACCACAGAGAGAGAAACACAAUUUUGAUUGAAAUAAACCUCUAGACCCUAAUCUACAAGUCCUGUUCAAAAAGUAAAAACACAAUAUUCUCUUCAUAUGUGAGCCCUUAGGUUCAACAAAACACCACCCACAAACAUUUCAUUUAACAUUAUUAGGGAAAAUAAAUAUUGAAAUAUAAUGAUAAAUUCUAGGAGAAUAAUAUUCACAAUAUGUUUUAUUCCAAAGGGUAAAUCUAUAGGUUUCAUGGUUCUUUUACUCCAUGUUGUUUUACACAGAAAACUGGCUUCAGUUUACAUAUGAGAGUUUUAACUAUAAGGUCCGGAGGGAAGAUUCAGUACUAGAGGUCUAAGGAAAAUACUGAAGAUCUUCCCUUUCCAUGUGCCUUCAUGAUGUCUGCAUAUCCUUGAUGAAACAGCUAAUGAAUGCUGAUUUCUCAUUGCAUCUGGCUCGGUGGCUCACUCAUUGGAACCCCAAUUUACUUAGUCAUCUCAAGGCUAUCAGUCCCUCCUUCUGGGAUCUCACCUGUUCUUGGAAGGAUGUAGUGUUUUUCAUGGGAUCACUAGGUCAUGCAAGCUGUUAGAACAAAGAAAGCUUCAUUCUGACUUGUAUUUAUUCAGUUCCACUUUAAACAGAAGUUAGAACAAGACUUCAGACUCUCACCUGUGGAGAGGAUGCUCUGCCCAGCACUUCCUAAAACCUGUUUAGGAAAACUGGAACACUGAACCUAUGUACUUGGGAGUCCCAGUCUGGCAAUACAGUUGCCUCUGUCUGUUUCUUUUGCUUUCUUUCUUGCUUUCAUAAUAUUACUCAAAGAAACACUGUCUUGUGUGAAGAGAUUGUCUUUCUUAUCUAUUGGAUCUGACCUGCCAAGUUGAGCAGCUGCCCACAUACUUAAUGUAACAAUCACAUGUAUGUGUUAUCUAAUCGGUAACUAUAGUAUCUUUCAACUGCAUGAUUUUUUGUUGCAUGGGGGAGGAAAUUGAGAAUGCUUUCUUUGAGUGCACACGGCACUAUUAAUAGUAUUCAUAACACUGCUAAGUAAUAUUUCCUCUCUGCUCAGCUUGUUAGUAUUUCUCUUGUGCUGCUUUGUAAAACAUAGAAAAGAGUUGCAAACCAAAAUUUUUUUGAUAAUAGAGAGUUGCACAGACUGACUUGGGCAACUCUAUUUACCAAUGUUUGUUAUUUUGUAUGGGCUCAGGGUACUCUUUUAUACUUUUAUUUAACCUUAAUGACACUAGCAUUUAUUGAAGAGUUUUUAACUCACAAUCCUUCUCUGUAUACAAAUUUUCCCUUAUCAUUUUUAAAAUUUCUUACUCUUUUUAGGUAUACAUGACAGUAGAGCAAAUUUUGACAUUAUUCAUGGAGUAAAACUUAUUUUAGUUAGCAUUCCAUUCUUGAGGUGUACAUGGUGUGGACCUUCACUGGUGGUGUAUUUAUAUAUAAAUACAGAGAAGUUGUGUCUAAUUCAUUCUAAUGUCAUUUCUAUUCCUAUUUCCCUUUUCUUCACUUCAUUCCAACUUUGUCUAAUCCACUGAAUUUCUAUUCUCUCCCCCUCCCUUGUUGAGUGGUUUAGCAUCCAUAUAUAUUAUAUAUUAUAUGUAAUGUCUGUUUCAUUCUACUAUCCUUCCUAUCCCCUAUCCCUUCCCUUCCCUGCACUCCUCUCUAUUUAGUCUAAAGUAACUAUUCUUCCCCACCCCCUAUUGUGAAUUAUCAUCCACUUUAUGAGAGAAAACAUUUGGCCUUUGUGAGUGAGUGUGUGUGUUGGCUUAUUUUACUUAGCAUGAUAUUCUACAGCUCCAUCCAUUUACCUCCAAAUGCCAUAGUUUCAUUCAUCUUUAAAUUUAAGUAAUAUUCGAUUGGUGGGGGGAAUAUAUAUACAAUUACAUUUUAUUUAUCCAUUCAUCUGUUGAAGGACACCUAGGUUGGUUCUAUGGUUUAGCUGUUGUGAAUUGUGCUGCUGUAAACCUUGGUGUGGCUGUGUCUCUGUAGUAUUCUGUUUUUAAGUUCUUUGGGUAUAGUCCGAGGAGAGGGAUAGCUGGGUCAAAUGGUGGUUCCAUUCUGGUUUUGCAAGGAGUCUCAAUACUGCUUUCCAUGGUGGUUACACAAAUUUGCAGUCAGUCUCAUGAGCAAUGUGUGAGUGUUUUUUUCCCCCACAUCCUCACCAACAUUUAUUGUUGCCUGUAUUAUUGAUGAUUGCCAUUCUGCCUGAAGUGAGAUAAAAUCUUAAAGUAAUUUUGAUUUACAUCUUCCUAAUUGCUAGAUGGAUGGAAUGUUUUUUCAUAUAUUUGUUAAUGAAUUAUAUUUCUUCUGUGAAGUGUCUGUUCAGUUACUUAGCCCAUUUGUUAAUCGGGUUUUUGUUGUUGUUGUGUUAAGUUUUGAGUUCUUUAUAUACCCUAGAGAUUAGUGCUUUAUCUGAGGUAUGUGUGGUAAAGAUUUGUAUAAAAUCUGUAGGUUCUCUCUUCACAUUAUUGUUUCUUUUGCUGAGAAGCAGCUUUUUAGGUUGAAUCUAUCCCACUUAUUGAUUCUUUUUUUUUUUUAAAAGAGAGAGUGAGAGAGAGAGAAUUUUUUUAAUAUUUAUUUUUUAGUUUUUGGCGGACACAAAAUCUUUGUUUGUAUGUGGUGCUGAGGAUCGAACCCGGGCCGCAUGCAUGCCAGGCGAGUGCGCUACCGCUUGAGCCACAUCCCAAGCCCCACACUUAUUGAUUCUUGAUUUUUAAUUCUUGUGCUGUAGGAGUCUUGUUAUGGAAGUCAGAUUCAAGACCAACAUUCACCUCAGAUUUUUAAAUGGCAUCCCAAGUUCAUGAAUGUUUCACUUUCAUUGUUUCUCUUACUAUCAUGCCUUAUAGAUCUACAUGUUCUAAAGAGUCAUGAAAUGAUCUAGCUUCACAUGCAUGAUUUUCUUAUGACAGUUAUUUUUCAAUAUGUUUCUGCAGAUUAUUUAAAAUAUAUAUCUACUAUUUCAGACUUUAACUAAAGCACAUACAUACCUUGUGUCGGGAAUAUUACAUCAAUAGAUCAACAUCAAAUCUAUAAUAUAUAUAAAUAUAUAUAAAAGCCUGGAUUCAAAUGCAUGCACAUCCACUCCAGAGCUUGGCCCAUAACACUUAUUCUACACUAGUUCUACACUUUAGAACCUUCAUGAAAGCUUUUAUAAAUGCAAAUCCUGAGAUUUACUCCCCAGACAUUCUUCUUUUUUUCUGGGGUGGGGGGGGACGAUGAAGAAGAUUGAACUCGGGGACAUUCAACCCCUGAGCCACAUCCCUAGCCCUAUUUUAUGUAGCGAAAGGAUCUCACUGAGCUGCUUAGUAAAUCUCUUUCACUGAGGCCGGCUCUGAACUCAUGAUCCUCCUUCCUCAGUCUUCCAAGCUGCUGAGAUUACAGGCAGGUGCCACCAUGCUCACCUCAACAGAGAACCUUCUGUAACUGGUUGGAACCCAAUUGUUCAGUGUAUUGUGGCCUAAUCCUCACAACUUGAGAUAAAAUUAUUUUUCUCUUUAUUAAAAAUCAGGGCAAUUUAGACAAAGAGAUUGGAUUCAACAGCACCUAGUUACACAGCAAGUCCACAUUACAACAAAGGUGUGUGUCUGCAAUUCUCCACCUCUCCAAAGAGCUCUUCUUAGCUCCACAAAGUUGGCAGUACUGGCCAACCCUCUGCCAUGGCUCAUUCCCGAAGCCUCCCAGGAGGUGAGUGCAUAUGAGGGACAGUAUUCCAGGUGGCACCUUGGUAAUCAAUGCACCAUGCCAUGCCAGGGAGUAAGGCAGAGCCCAAGUCUCCAAAGGCACAAAACUUUCAUGUGGCUAGUCCAGGAUGGGGGCUGAAUGUGGGGAUACUUUUCCUCUGCCCUUGAUGUGUCUUGCUUAACUUUGUGUAUGCUGAAAUACUUGUUCAAUGACUUUCACUCUUUUUCUAUUUUAAGUUUCCCUCUCAUGUGGCUUUGGAGGUCUCCUUCUUUGGCAAUUAUUGUGACUUUCUUCUUCAGUUUUCCAACCCCCUCAGCCCAUCCAUGUGGAAUUUCUGUCUGUGGAUAUUAGUUUUUAUUUUAAAUAUUUCCAUUUGGUCCAAGUUGCCAAUUACCUCUAGAAAACAAGUGUUUCAUUAUCAUUCCUGUAUUAAUCCUUCAUAUGUUGAUAAUGGCAGUGAUCAAGAACUAUCUUCUGAUUUCUACAACUGGAACAUAAGUGGGUCUGCUUGAAAUGACUGUCCUUUCUUUUGACUCCAGAUAACAGGGCUACAUCUUCAUAUAGGGCUUUAGUGCUUUUAUAUAUAUUCAUAUACAGUACCCAGGAGACUGAGCCUACUUUUGCAUUGUUUCUCUCAGAGAAGGUAGAGUUGAUCAUGUAGGUUCCUUAGAUUGGACUCCAGCUCAGACGCUGCCUCGGCUCUGACUAGAUUCCAUCUGCCUGUGAUUUCUACAACAUGUGACUACAGCUCUUCCACUACUUUUCUAUUUUGCAUUUUAUAUUAGAGUAAUUUUAAUAUUUCACUCAGAGCUUGAGCCACAGAACUGUCACUUUGGAAAGGAUGAGAUACUGAACCAUCACUACCUCUGGAAAGGGGUGCUCCAUGUGCAAACUAGGGAAGAGGGGCCCAUCACACACUGUAGUCAGAGAACUUUCAGGGCAACUAUGGGGGUGCCAGGAGUACGUCACACCAAAGUAGAGGCAUUAUGAAUUGUGGGACAGGUUUGGACUAAUUUGAUUUUAGAAUCAGAAUUGAAGAAAUUUAAGUUUCCUCAUCAACAUGAUGAAAAAAAUGACCUCAAUCCAGAUCAUUUUCCAGAUGUGUCCAGGAAACUUUAAGAGUUUGGAGCCCAGCUCUCUCGGAUUCCUGUUAUCCAUCAGAAAAGACAGUAAAAUUGAGAGACAGAUGACAUGUCCCACUGGGGAAGCUACAGUUCUGUGCUCUCCAGUGGGACCUUCUUGCCUUUCUAUAGACAUUAAAAUUACAAAUCUGCAGAGACAGGAUUUAAACACAUCCUUUCCAUAAAACCUAGGAGUUUUUGUGCUCUGCUCAGCUUAUUCAGAUGGCUAAGUACCUCUGUGUCCUCAGAUGCAGAGUUAGUGUGGGUUUUAAAAAGGGCAUGGGAGGAGAAGAUUUGGUCUACUAGUGAGGUUUCCCAGUAGAUUCAGAGGAGACAUUCACUCCAACAGUCCUAAAGAGCCCAGAGGACCGUGUUAUGUAAGGUGAAAUGAGGAUAUUGUCUUCUAAAGAUGUUUGCUUCUUUGAGAUCCUGCUGAAAUGAGUCAAUUAUUUUUUAGGGAAUGUCAGUUUUACUUUUUCCUUUUUUAAAUUUAAUAACUUCAUGGGACACAACUUACAUAUGGUAUGUCAUGUAGAGAUUUUAAACACUACUAAUUUGUAUACUUAUUACCAGGGAAUUAAUAAGUUUUAAUAUUGACAAUCUUGCUUUUGUCAUCUUCAUAACUCAUAGAACAAUUAUUGUUUGAGUAAUUGUACAUUUUGAAAUCUUUGGAAGGAAAUGAGAUUCUAUGUUCAAAACCUCAUUUUAUAGAAUGGAAUCACACAUGAGUAAGAACUUUCUUUAAGUUGGUAAAUGUCAAAUAAGGGACCAUGAUCAAAAGGAAGUACAUUAAAUAUUUUUUAAAAUCAAAUUAAUGUGCUGGUAAUUUCCAAUUCAUGGUUCCAAAUUAUAGGCUUGUGAACAUAAUUCACAAGAAUUUGGAAGAAUAUUUUUAUGUAUUAGUCCAUUCUGUUUUAAUCACACACACGCACAAAAAACACCCUUUUGCAAUAUCUAAUAAUGGAAGUGUGUAAACUCAAUUUUGCUUAGAGGAACAUUCAGGACAGUUGAAACCCAUCCUGCCCUGGUCACUUUCAGAUUUUUUUCCAAAAUUCCAUUUUUCGUGUCAUUAGCAUGCACAGAUAAAUGUGACCCCAAGACAUAAAGACCAAGAUAAAGCAGGACUUGACUCUUCCAUCACAACAUCAGUCAGGGAAUCAGACCCUCCUGCAAAACCUUGUGGGUUUCCCAGUAAUGAGAGCUUGGGGUCUGCAGAGAAGUGCACAGGCUCUCUCGUCCCAUGAGGAGGUCCAGAGAACAGGGUAGAGGAGAGUGUGGCUGUGAAGUCUCUAAUCACACCUCCAUAGACCAAGCAGGAUGCAGAUCUGAUUUUAUUGUGCAGGUACCAUGUAUAUGUGUCAGGCAGUACCUAAGGAAAAUAUAGACAGCCACCAAUGCAAUGACUGCUAACUGUCCUUGCAGUGAACAAUCAAGGAGUGGGACUGCAAUAUGUGGCCUCAUUCCCAGAGCUGUGCUGAUGGGUAAGCAGUUUGCCACUCAGACACCCUUAUUUUAUGCCCUGUAUGCAGUACUCCAUGCGCUUGUCCCCACAGAGAAGCACCUCUGGGGCUUCUUCUUUCUUGACUUUAAAGAACAAUUUUUCUUCUAGUGGCUUUUCUCAGGAGAAACUUAAAAUAAUGGCAAUAUAAGUAUCAUAGAUAUUGGGGCUGGGGAUGUUGCUCAAGAAGUAAUGUCCCCGCCUGGCAUGUGCGGGGUGCUGGGUUUGAUCCUCAGCACCACAUAAAAAUAAAGAUGUUGUGUCCACCUAAAAUGGAAAAAUAAAUAUUAAAAAUUCUCUCUCUUCUCUCUCUCUCUCUAAAAAACAUCAUAGAUAAAAGUGUGAAUCCUGAGCUGUAUUUUAAAACCCUGACAAUUAAAAAAAAAAACAACCAUAAUUCUCACCUCUACUUCCCACAAAGAACUGCCAUUCAUUCAAAUGUUGCCCAGGGUUUGCUCAUCAUGUUACUGGAGUGUGUGUUUUGCAGCAUAGGUGCUGGGUGAUGGUGUCACCCUCUCUGAGGUCUCAGUCAUUUAUUCCUAGUGCUCUUCAUAGAUUCCCAACACACAAAGAGCUACAAGUUAGAGGUUUCUGCUGAGGCGGACAUCAGUCCCAAGCCCACUUGCUUGAAGCAAGACCAGUCUCAAUUCUCCAUCCCUUUUGUCUGUUUUUAUGUUAGUGAAUUGCAAGGGGACAUGGGGAGGGUUGGCAGUAGUGGUGAAGCUGAGCUGUGUGAUGAGGACAAUUGCAAUUUGUAAGUCUACACAUGAGUUGCUAAGGGGUGAGGAAAUAGGAUCUGUCACCCCUAUGAGCAGGAUGAUGCUCACACUGCAUAUGGGAGAAGAGGUGUUUCUUUCCCUAAAUUUCACCCUGGAAUGUGCCCACCCAGAAGGCCCAAAGAUCCCAAACUUGCAGUGAGGUGUCGUCCUCCUGUAAUUCUCUCUACUUCUGUCCUGACCACCAGCUCAUGUCCACUGCCUGAGCAGUCCUCACUAGAGUGUUGGAAUUCAGAUGAUAGUGCAUAUAUCAUACAUCCACCCCCCCUGACUAUAGUGACAGCAGGAUGGCACCAUAUCUAACAUGACUCCUUCCUGGCCCCAGAUAUUAAAGGGAGUCUUAACCAUGAGUAUCCCACAGUCUUUACAAUCAGCUCUAACAAAAAAAUUUUUUUUGAAAAUUUCUUUUUCAUGUGUGAUCUGUUUUUCUCAUCUCCUCCCUUGUCCUUUCCUUCCUUGUACCAUAUGUGAAUUCUUCAAAUGGAACCUAUUUCAGAAAUCUGUUAAAUAACCUGUUAUUUAUACAUCCUUCCACACAGAAUGCCCACUCUGAGGGGCAGCUUGAUUUCUCCAGUGCAUAAAGGACAUUUGUGCCUAGUACAAUAGGGAACUGGACCAAGCUGAAAACAUCACUCUGUAGACCCUUGUUUGAAGGGUGUUUGUUUCUCAGAUUAUCUCCAUGAUGUUAGAGAGCUUGCCUCAUGAUCUCCUGGACUAUGUUGUGCCAUGCAUAAUGUGCACAGCUGGGAAGGUACAUAGCUCAGGAUUUCAGUCAUCUCUAUGAAUCGUUCCCAGGAUACUUCUUAACAACAAUGGUACCUCAGCAUUGACAUUACUAUACAUAUUUCUUUACAACACUACCAUGAUAUAUGUACACAAUUUUAAUCAUAUCACUAAAUGAUGCACAUCAAGUAUAUAUGAUUGUGGUUUAAAAUUGGAGAUAGCAGAAUGACCAGACUAUGGUUUCUCCUGGCACUACAUGUAUGAAGUUAGUUUUCCUUAGGAUUGCAUGAAAUUGUGUUCCUUUCUUUGAAUCAUACUAUCAGGAAAGUGUCUAAAUUUUUCCUAAUACUGAUAUAGAAAUUUACUAUCAGAAAACAAUUUUCCAACAGUUUCAAGGCAAUGGACAACCAAUCCAUGAGUUCUUGACUAUUACUGCAAAUUCAUGGCACUUGCACACUCCUGUUGGUAUGACUGCAGAUUCCUCAGCCAACCUAGAUGCCCUUCAAUGGAUGAGUGGAUAAAAAAUGUGGCAUUUAUACACAACGGAAUAUUACUCAGCACUAAAAAAUAACAAAAUCAUGGCAUUUGCAUGGAAAUGGAUGGCAUUAGAGCAGAUUAUGCUAAGUGAAGCUAGCCUAUCCCUUAAAAACUAGUGCUGAAUGUCUUCUUUGAUAUAAGGAGGGCAACUCAAAACAGAUCAGGGAGGAAGAGCAUGAGAAAAAGAUUACCAUUAAACAGGGAUGAGAGAUGGGAGGGAAAGGGAGAGAGAAGGGGAAUUGCAUGGAAAUGGAAGGAGACCUGCAUUGGUAUACAAAAUUACAUAUAAGAGGAGGUGAUAGGAAAGGGGGAAAAAGACAAGAGAGAGAGAGGUGAAUUAGAGUAGAUGGGGUAGAGAGAGAAGAAGGGAGGGGAGGGGAGGGGAAGGGUGGGGAGGGUGGAUAGUAAGGGAUAGGAAAGGCAGCAAAAUACAACAGACACUAGUAUGGCAGUAUGUAUAAACAUAGAUGUGUAACCCAUGUGAUUCCACAAUCUGUACACGUGGUAAAAAUGGGAGUUCAUACCCACUUGAAUCAAAUGGAUGAAAUAUGAUAUGUCAAGAGUGUUGUAAUGUUUUGAACAAUAAUAAAAAAUAAUAAAAUAAAAUACACUUCAGCCUGCAUGAGGAUCAAGGACAAAUCCUUUCAACCACUCACCAAGACAUUGAAUUGCAGUUUUGUUCUUUUGCUCAGCUGCAGGAAGAGCAGGAAUAUAAGUAAAUUCAAUAAUGAUACCUACUGGGAUAUACUUGGAUGAAAUACAAGAGACAUUACAUCCAUGGUAGGAAAGGUGCAGGAAAUCUGGGUGGCAGAAGAAAGCUAUCAUGAAAGCAAUAGAAAUUCCCUCAAGCUCAGCAGGUAGUAGCUGUGAUGACAAGUCCAAUCCCAGCCUAAUUCUUUCUAGGUUAGCACAGACCCUCACUUCAUGCAUGGGGAAUACUGCUCAUCAGCAAUUUAAGAAAUAUUUACCCAAAUUUAAUAUCCCAGACAAUGUAUUUUGCUUGCAAUGCACACUUAAAAAAAUCACAAUUUUUUACUUCAAUAUUGAAUUAUUUAAUUUCUUUUUCAUUUUUUGAUAUUUAGAGUCAGCUGGGUAAUAGUAUCAUAUGCAUAAGCUAUUUGAUGUUUGAUGUAUAAAAUCCCAUUAAAUAAUCUCAAACAAUAUUUAGUAGAAGUCAGAAAAUACAUUUUUUCAUUUUUCUAAAACUAAGUUGUGAAACACUUCAGUUUGCACUAUUAAAUAUAUUACUCAAGAUAACUUAUGAAGCUAACUAAUAAGUAUAAAGACUCACUUAUCUCUGUUUUUCCUUCCACAUUCUCAGCAUGUUCUAUCUAAAACCAAAGCUAAUACCAAUGGCAAAGAAAUUUUUCCCAUUUUCUUCUGGAAUUUUUUAUGAUUUCAGCUUACAUCACAAUGAGGUAUAAUUGCACGCUUGUGUACUAUUCUCAAAAUGUUGGUAGGUAGCACAUACUGCAGAAGAUAUGCAGAAAAGGAAACACUUGGACAGCCUUGCCAGGAAUAUAAAUUUGAACAAACAUUUAAGGGGGUUUUUCAACAAAUGAAAACUAGAGAUGCAAUACAAUGCAGACAUUUUGUUGAAUUUUCAGAAUUAUUCAGAAAAAGAAUAAAACUCAUAAAAAAUGUACAUGUGUAUACAGAAGCGAGCUUAUUAUAUUUACUUACAUAGUCUUGUGAGGAAUAGGCACCAAAUUUUUGCCUGCAGGAUGGCAACACUGGAAAACUGGUAACAGCUAAGUCCAAGAAGCUGGAAGCUUCACCAUGUGAGGAAGCAAAUGAAGUAGCUGUGGUCCAGGACAGAGGACUUAAAAGACCCUGGUAGAUGAGAAACCAAAUAAUCCAAUCAAUAAUGAACCAAGGACCUGAACAGACACUUCUAAGAGGAUAUGCAAUCAAUCAAUAAAUAUAUGAAAAAAUAUUCAUCAUCUCUAGCAAUCAGAGAAACACAAAUCAAAACAAUGCUAAGAUAUCAUCUCACUCCAGUCAGAAUGGCAGCUAUUUAUUAUAAAGAAAAACAAGUGUUGGCAAGGAUGUGGGGGGAAAGGUACACUCAUACACUGCUGGUGAGACUGCAAAUUGGUGCAGCCAAUAUGGAAAGUAGUAUAGAGAUUCCUUGAACAACUGGGAAUGGAACCACCAUUUGACCCAGCUAUUUCUCUCCUUGAACACCCAAAGGACUUAAAAACAGCAUACUACAGGGACACAGCCACAUCAAUGUUUAUAGCAGCAGCAAAAUUCACAACAGCUAAACUGUGGAGCCAACCUAGAAGCCCUUCAGUUGAUGAAUGCAUGAAAAAACAUGUGGCAUAUAUACACAAUGGAAUUUUACUCAGUAAUAAAAGAGAAUAAAAUCAUGGCAUUUGCAGGUAAAUAGAUGGCAUUGGAGAAGAUAAUGCUAAGUGAAGUUAGCUAAUCCCCAAAAAACAAAUGCCAAUCCUUUUCUCUGAUAUAAGAAGGCUGACUCAUAGUGGGUUAGGGAGGGAGAGCAUACAAGGAAUAGAUAAACUCUAGAUAAGGCAGAGGAGUGGGAGGGAAAGGGAGGGGGCAGGGGGUUAGCAAGGAUGGUGGAAUGUGAUGAAGAUCAUUAUCCAAAGUACAUGUAUGAAGACUUGAAUUGGGUGUCAACAUAUGUUAUAUACAGAGAUAUUAAAAUUGUAUACAUGUGUAUUAAGAAUUGUAAUGCAAUAAACCAAAACAAUAGCAUUACCUUAGGUUAGGUAGAGGGAAGGAAAGGAGGCAAAGGCAGGGGAUUUGGGGAUACGAAAGAGAAUGAAACAGACAUUACUUUAUGUAUGUAAGUGGCUGUAUGAUCAAUGUGAUUCUACAAUAUGUAUACUCAGAAAAAUGAGAAAUUUUAUCCCAUCUAUGUAUGAUAUAUUAAAGUUUAUAAGUGAAUUCUACCUCAUGGAUAAAUAAUUAAAACAAAAAAUAAAAGACCCUGGUAGAGCCAAUGGUAUAAGUCCACAAAGGCUGGAGAAUCACCCAAUCAAGAAGCUUGGAGCAUAAGCCAGUGACCACUUCUCUUGCUUUUUUUUUUUCAAAUCAAACCUACUGGAUGACAAUAUAUAUGUUCAUUACAGGUAUUCCCCAUUCUUUCUGACUCAGCCUUCUGGAAGCACACUCACAGACACCUGCAGAGAUCUUCCACACCAAUUCCCUAGGUAUCUCAAUCUACUCAAAUUGACAGCUGACAUUAACCAUUUCAACAAUUGAAGGAAAUGAAAUCCAUCUUUAGGAAUGUCUACACUCCUAAGUUAACCACAACACUAUCCACAACCUAAAUUUCCAUCAAAGCAUAACUCUGUAAGAAGAACUCAUAGUGUAUUACAGAUAAUAGAUAAAGAGAGAUUUAUCAUUGUGUUUACACACAAACAUAUAAACAUACAUAUAUAGCCUUUUCAGUUUUUUUACAAUUAUUUUGAGACAAGGUUUUUAAGGUGCAGAGGGUCUCACCAAGAUGCCGAGGCUGGCUCCAAGAUAGUGGUUCUUCUCCCUCAGCCUCCGCAGUCCCUAGCACGACAAAAGAAACAUGCCUCCACACCUCACUUAUUAUCCAACUUUCAAAAGAAGAAUGAUGUAUGUGGCACUGGUGCAAAAUUUAAAGGCCAGCCUCAGGUGUUUGGUAACAUUCUAAAAAAGAAUAUAAUAGGGGAUGUAUCUCAGUGGUAAGGAAACUCUGGAUCCUAACCCUAGAAACAAAAGAAUAUUCUCUAGUAACAUGGAGAAGCUGGAGAACUUCAGGCUAAGUGAGAUGAUGCAUACUCUAUGUGCAGAGUCUGGAAGAAAAAAAAUGAUGAAUACAUAGGGAGAGCCUGGUGGUUAUCAGAGAGCAUCAUCAAUAAUAUCACAUCAUAUACUGAAAAUUCCAAAAGACAGUAGGAUUCUGUUCUUAGUGUAGAAUUAAGUAAUUGCAUGAUAUGAUGGGUUUUAUCAUCACAUAGCAAUUGCACAUACUAAUGUGACUCAGUGUGAUAUUUAUAGAUGCAUAUACAUGUAUUUAUAAUAUUCAAAUACCCUCUUCUGCCCUUGAUGCCCCCUGCUGAUGCCUUGGCCAUACUAAUCAUGAUUCUACAUUCACAUGAUUUUAUUUAACAUAUUUAAGAUGUGAUACUUUUGUGUGUGUGUGUUUCUUCACUUAGCAUGACCUCAUCCAAUUCCAUCUAUUUUUCUGACCAUCAAAGGAGUUUGUAUUGAUGGCUGAGUAAUAUGACAAUGUGAAUAUAUAACAUACUUUUUAGUGAAUAUGUUAAAUUGCUUAUCUACACCACUGACAUUUUUCUGUGUAUUGUUAAAUAUACUGCUAUUCAACUUGAACUUAUAUAAAAAAAAGAAAGAACCUCAAAAGAAUGAAGAAGCUAGGUGUGGGGGCACAUCCCUACAAUUCCAAUGGCUUGGGAGGCUGAGGCAGGAAAUUCAUGAGUUCAAACUCAGCCUCAGCAAAUUAUUAGGGACCUAUACAAGUCAGUGAGACUCCAUUUCUAAAUUAAGUAAUUUUAAAAAGGACUGGGGAAGUGGCUCUUUAGUUGAGUGACACUGGGACCAAUCCCUAGUUAAAAAAAAAAAAAGAAUAAACAAACUAGAAAACUAUGUCCUGACCUGAUUUUAUCAAUUGAAAAUAAAGCAUAAAAAUCAUGCUUCUACUUAAAGUUUGUUAAUAUAAAUAUUAUAUGCUAUUCUCUUUGAAUUUUUUCACAAAGUACAAUAAUUUGAGAGCAUUCAGUAGAUUACAUAACAUGGAAAAACUGCUGUUGUGCAAACAAUGAAAUAAAACAUUAGCUGUGUGUGAUGGUGCAUUACUGUAAUUCCAGUGUCUCUGAUGGUGAGUUCGAAGCCAGCCUCAACAACUUAGCAAAGCACUAAGCAACUCAGUGAGAUCCUGUUUGUAACUAAAAUACAAAAAGAUCUGGGAUGUUUCCGAGGGGUCGAGUGCCCUCAGUCUCAGUCCCCAGGACCAAAAACAAAGAUGAAAAAGAAAUAAAGCAUUAGGCUGCUGAAAAAUUGUAUUUUAAGUGUUUCAAAUAUUGGCCCAAUACUCCCAAGUUCACUUCAUCCAUCAAUUUAUAAUUGAAAUCUCUAGUUAUUUGUUUGUGAGAGAAAAGAGACAAAUAUAGUGAUGGUCCUGAACUCUGCCAUUUAUUUGCUAGUUUCUGCCAUAAGCUAGGCAAGGAUUUCUGCCCAUUGUGAUCCUCAGAGCACUACAGACUCAGUCCUUUCUCUUCAUGCAAGGAUGCACCUUGAGGAGUGGAUGUGGCUUGACCGCUAAAGUGGGGAAGAGGUAAAAGGGAAGUAAUGGCGUGGGUGUGUGGGUGGGGUGUGAUAAUGAUGUUUAGCUAUUGUGAAUUGUGCUGCUGUAAACAUUGAUGUGGCUGUGUCUUGUAGUAUGCCAUUUUUAGGUCCUUUAGGUACAGACCAAGAAGAGGAAUACCUGGGUCAAAUGAUGGUUCCAGUCCCACAUUUCCAAGGAAUCAGUUUAGCUACUGUGAAUUGUGCUGCUAUAAACUGUGGAGCCAACCCAGAUGCCCUUCAGUGAAUGAAUGGAUAAAAAAUAUGUGGCAUAUAUACACAACGGAAUUUUACUCAGUCAUAAUAAAAUCAUGACAUUUGCAGGUAAAUGGAUGGUGUUGGAGCAGUGAAGUUAGCCAAUCCCAAAAAAACAAAUGCCAAAUGUUUUCUCUGACAUAAGGAGGCAGACUCAUAGAGGGGUAGGGAGGGGGAGCAUUGGAGGAAUAGAAAAAGUCCUGAUAGGGCAGAGGGGUGAGAGGUUAAGGGAGGAGGCAGGGGAUUAGCAGUGAUGGUGAAAGGUGAUGGACAUCAUUAUCUAUAGUACAUGUAUGAAGACAGGAAUUGGUGCCAACAUACUUUAUAUACAGAGAUAUGAAAAAAUGUGCUGUGUACAUGUAAGAAGAAUUGUAAUGCAUCCCACUGUCAUUUUUAAAUCAAUAAAAAAAUAAAAUACACUUCAGGCUUCAUGAGGAUCAAGGAUGAAUCUUUUCAGCCACUCACCCAGACAUUGAAUUGCAUUGAUGUUCUAGUGCUCAGCUGUAGGAAGAGCAGGAAUAUAUAUGAAUUUCAAUACAGACCCACUGGGAUAUUCUUGGGUGAAAUACAAAAGGCAGAACAUCUAUGGUAAGAAAGGUUCAGAAAAUUUGCUAGACAAAAGAAAGUUAUCAUGAAAGCUCAGCAGGUAGUACUUGUGGUGUCAAAUGUCAAUCCCAGCCUAAUUCUUCCUAGGUUAGCAUAGACACUCACUUCAUGCAUGGGGAAUACUGCUCAUCAGCAAUUUAAGAAAUACUUACCCAAAUUUAAUAUCCUACACAAUGUACUUUGUUUGCAAUGCACAUUUUCAAUAAAAGUUGCACAAUUUUUUACUUCAAUAUAGUUUAAUUUCUUUUGCAUUAUUGAUGAUUUUUAGAGUCAGCUGGGUAAUUUUUACAAAAUGACUUUUGGAUUUUGGCUUAAUUACAUUGAAUCUGCAGACCCACUGUGGAAUACUGUGGUAUUAACAAAAUCAAACUUUUAAUCAUUGAAUAUUAGCAGUUUUCCCAUUUUGUUUCCAUGAUCUUUUUUGCAUUUUACUUUCACCUUUACUUUUUACUUUGCAGUGAACAGUUCUUUUGUUAAUACUUUCGUUUAGAUUAUUUUUCCUAUAUUUGUGAAUGGAUUUUUGCCUCAAUUUUAACACUGCUCAUUGCUACUGUAUAUAAUUUAAAUUAUUUAAUUUAACCCAUGAAUUAUUGAACUAAUUCUUUGGUUUCAUUAGCUCAUGGAAAUUGCUUAGAAACAUUAUAGAAAUAAUAGUAUCAUCUGAAUAUGCUAUUUGAUUUUUGAUGUGUAAAAUCCCAUUUAAUUUUCUCAAACAAUAUUUAGAAGUCAGAAAAGCAUACAUUUUUUUCUUUUUCUAAAAAUAAAUUGAGAAACACUUCAGUUCACACAAUUAAGUAUUAAAACAGUCCAUAGCUGCCCUUAAGUGGAUUGAAAAAAUUUUCCUCUGGUCAUAAUUGGCCAUAGGUUAUACAGUAAUUUGGUAAGUGAUUUGCCAAAAGCUUUUCUCUAUCAAAAUGAUUUUUGGAAACUUCCCAUAUGACAAUGUCCCUCUUGGUCAUGAAGUCCAAUCAUUCCUUUUGUUGUUGUUCUCAGUUUGCUAGGGGUUUUCAAUAUUUGGGUCAACAUCUAUAAAAAGAUGGUCUUCAAUUUCUAUUCUCAUGCUGUGUUAUCUUGUAUUUCUGGCCUUACAGAAAGAAUUAGUCUAUUUUCUUCUUCUACAUUUAGACAUGAUCAUGAAUUAUUGUUACUGAUUCAUUAUUACAUGUUUUGUAAAAAUCACCUGUGAAGGCACCUUUUUAUAAAUAUGAUUACUGUUUGGUUUUUUGGUGGGUCAAUUUUUAGAGCUGGGUUUUUGCCAGGUUGGCCUCAAAUUCCUUAGCCUAAAUCAUCCUCCUGCUGUGGCCUCAAGGUAGUCAAGACUAGUGGCAUGUGCUCCCAUAUUAGCUCAACUGCAAGUACUUUUAUGAGCAGCUGUAAAGUUAAAUGUUGAUGUGUAGGUCUAUUUUAUAUUUCUUCACAUCUGGGUCUACUAAUGUAUUCUACUGAUUUCUGAAGUAAUUUUCAAAGUUGAUGAUUAUCUAGCAAUUUAUCUAUAUUUUGUUGUUUUCCAGGCUAGAGACUUUCUUGGCAAUUAAGAUGGAAUAAUGAGGAAGCAUAAUGUGGGAAAAUGAGAACCUGGCAUUUUGCUAAUUGAUCUCAAGAUGCCCUGUGAAGGAUGGAGAGUGUGCACCCAUAAUUCUGUGGGACAAAUGAAGCAGAAAAGCUAAAUUAUCAUUUUAUGUAGCCUAAUACAUGAUCUUAAGUAACUUUCAUAUGUCUUUACACACUUGUUUAAUUUUUAGGGCAGAAUCUAAGUAUUUUACCAUAUUUAAAAUAGGUUAUGAGGGUUUUUUAUUAAAUUUUGGUGAGUUGUGUAAGUUUCGUAUUUUUGGGUGUUGAGCUUUUAACAGACAUGGGGCUAGCAAUGAUUUUUUUUAACCCACAGUCUACUUUUACAUUUCAUUGAUUGAUUCCUUUGUUGUAUAGAAGCAUUUUUAGCUUUAUAUAGUCUCAGCUGUUUUUCCUUGAACAUUCUUAGCAUGUUCUAUCUAAAACCAUUGCCAACGCCAAUGGCAAAAAAAAAAAAAAAAAAAAAAAUUCUCAUUUUCUUCUGGAAUUUUAUUGCUUUCAGGUUAUAUCACAAUGGGAUAUAACCACACGCUUGUGGGCUCAAUCCUCAAAAUGUUGGUAGGUAACACAUACUGCAGAGGAUAUGCAGAAAAGGAAACACUUGGACAUCCUUGUCAGGAAUAUAAAUUUGAAUAGACAUUAAAAAAACUAAGGGGGUUUUUCAAAAAAUUAAAACUAGAGAUGCCAUAUGACCCAGACAUUGAGAAUAUGCCUGUAUUUUUAGGGUUCUUCAGAAAAAUAGAAUACAUUAAAAAAUGUACGUGUUAUACAGAGGGGAGCUUAUUAUAUUUACUCACAGAAUCAUGGGAAGAAUAGUCACCAAAUGUUUGCCUACAGGAUGGCAACACUGGGAAAGUGGUAACAGCUCAGUCCAAGAAGCUGGAAGCUUCACAAUAUGAGGAAGCAAAAUUUUAAAGCCAGCCUUAGUAGUUUGGUAACAUUCUGUCUUAAAACAGCAGAUGGGGUAGAGAGAGAAGAUGGGAGGGGAGGGGAGGGGGGAUAGUAGGGGAUAGGAAAGGUAGCAGAAUACAACAGUCACUAAUAUGGCAUUAUGUAAAAACAUGGAUGUAUAACUGAUGUGAUUCUGUAAUUUGUAUUUGGGGUAAAAAUGGGAGUUCAUAACCCACGUGAAUCAAAUGUAUGAAAGAUGAUAAGUCAUGAGCUUUGUAAUGUUUUGAACAACCAAUAAAAGAAAAAAAGUCAAUUUCAAAUACAAGGGGCUUACCCAAUGCCAAAGGUACAAAAUCACAACAGUCCCACACCAAGGCACAUUAUAAUGAAAAUGCCCAACAUACAGAAUCAGGAGAGAUUUUUAAAAGCCACAGGAAAAAGGAAUCAGAUUACAUAUAGGGGAAAACCAAUUAGGAUCUCUGCUGAUUUCUCAACCCAGACCCUGAAAGCUACAAGAUCCUGCAACAAUAUAUACCAAGCUCUAUAAGAAAAUGGAUGCCAAUCAAGAAUCAUAUCCAGCUAAAUUAAACUUUAGAUUUAUUGGUUAUUUUUAUGACAAAAAUAAAAACCUUCCAUGAUAAUCAAAAGUUAAAAGAAUUUACAGCUAGAAAGCCUGAACUACAGAAAAUUCUUGGCAAAAUAUUCCAUGAGGAGGAAAUGAAAGACAGCAUAUGUCAGAAAAGGGAGGUAUCACUAAAGAAAAAACCUAACAAAGAGAAACCAAGUCAAGUUAACUAUCAAAAAUAAACAAAAAUAACUGGGAAUUCAAAUCAUGUUUCAAUAAUAAUCCUGAAUGUUAAUUUCCAAAACUCAGCAACCAAAAGGCAUAGACUGGCAGAUUGGAUUAAAAAGACCCUAAAAUAUGCUGCCUUCCAGAGACCCAUGUUACAGGAAAAGACAUCCACAGAGUGAAGGUGACAGGUUGGAAUAAAACAUAUCACUCAGGGCUGGGGAUUGUGGCUCAGUGGGAGUGAACUAGACUAGCAUGUGCAAGGCCCUGGGUUAGAUUCUAAGCACUGAAUAAAAAUAAGUAAACAAAAUAAAGGUAAUGUGUCCAACUAAAAAAUAUUUAACAAAACCAUAUUGCUUGGGCUGGGGAUGGGCCUCAGGGGUAGAACACUUGCCUGGCAUGUGUGAAGCCCUGAGUUCGAUCAUCAGUAUCAUAUAAAAAUAAGUAAAAAAGGUAUUGUGUCCAUGUACAACUAAAAAAAAAUAAAUAUUAAAAAAUACUACUCACAUGGAUUGUGGAAGCAAGCAGGGGUUUCCAUCCUUAUAUCAAAUAAUGUGGACUUCAAGUGAAAAUUAAUCAGAAGGGACAAACAAUAAUAUUUCAUACUGCUUAAGGGAACCAUACACCAACAAGAGACAACAAUUAUAAAUAUUUAUUCCCCAAACAAUAAAGCAUCUAUGUUCAUCAUAAAAACUCUUUGCAAUUUCAAGAGUCAAACAGAUCACAACACAAUAAUUCUGGGUGACUUUAACACAUAUAUUUUACCCCUGGAUAGAUCUUCCAAACAAAAGAUAAACAGAAAUUAUAGAACUCAAUAAGACAAUCAAUAACUUAGAUUUAACAUAUAUAGAAUAUUUCAUCCUUCAACAAGCAAAUACACUUUCUUCUCAGCAGCACAUGGAUCCUACGCAAAAAUAGACCAUAUACUAUGCCACAGGGCAACUCUUAGCAAAUAAAAAGGAGUAGAGAUACUACACUGCAUUCUAUCAGGUCAUAAUGGAAUGAAAUUAGAAGUCAGUGAUAAGACAAAAGCUACUCCAACACCUGGAGACUAAAAAAUAUGCUAGUGAAUUAACAGUGGAUUGCAGAAGACAUCAAGGAGGAGAUUUAAAAAUUCUUAGAGGUUAGUGAGAACACUGAUUGAUAGAACAUAUCAAAAUCUCUGGGACACUAUGCAGGUGGUACUAAGAGGAAAGUUCAUUGCAUGGAGUUCAUUCCUUAAAAAAAGAAAAAGUCAACAGAUAAAUGACCUAAAAUUACAUCUCAAAGCCCUAGAAAAAGAACAAAUGAACACCAAAAGCAGUAAAAGAUAAGAAAUAAUUAAAAUCAGAGCUGAAAUCAAUGAAUUUGAAACAAAAGAAUCAAUUAAAAAGUUGACAAAAUGAAAAGUUGGCUCUUUGAAAAAUUUUAUAAAUAAAAAUCAAUAAACCUUUAUACAUGCUAAUGUAGAAAAGGAGAGAAAAACUCAAAUUACUAAAAUCCAUGAUGAAAAAGGAAAUACCACCAUGGACACUACAGAAAUACAGAAGACAAUUGGAAAUUUUUUUGAAAAUUUGUACUCCAAUAAAACAGAAAAUGUUGAAGACAUCAACAAGUGUCUAGAAUCAUAAAAUUAACCAAACUGAAUCAGGAUUAUAUACACAAGUUACACCGAUCAUUUUCAAGCAAUGAAAUCGAAGACACCAUCAACAGCCUACCAACCAAAAAAAAAAAGAAAAAAAAUCCCAGGACUGGAUGGAUACACAGAUGAGUUUUACAAGACCAUCAAAGAAGAACUAACACUAAUUCUCCUGAAAUCAUUCUAUGAAAUAAAAAAAUGAAGGAAUACUUCCAAACUCUAUGAGGCCAAAAUCAUCCUGAUUCUAAAAUCAGACAAAGACACAUCAAACAAAGAAAGCUUCAGAGCAAUAUCUUUAAUGACCAUAGAUGCAAAAAUUCUGAAUAAAGUUUUGGAAAAUUGAAUACUAAAACAUGUUAAAAAGAUUGUGCACCUGAUCAGGUGGAGUUCAUACUAGGGAUGCAAGUUUGGUUCAACAUACGGAGAUCAAUAAAUAUAAAUCAUUACAUCAAUAGACUGAAAGAUAAGAAACAUGAUCAUCUCAAUAGAUGCAGAAAAAGCAUCUGAUAAAAUAUAGCACCCCUUCAUGUUCAAAACACUAGAAAAACUAGGGAUAACAGGAACAUAUCAACAUCAUAAAGGCUAUCUACGCUAAGCCCCAGGCCAACAUAAUUCUAAAUGGAGAAAAAUUAAAGGCAUUCUCUCUAAAUCUGGAUCAAGACAGGAUGCCCUCUCUCAUCAAUUCUAUCCAACAUAGUUCUUGAAACACUGGCUAUAGCAAUUAGAUGAAAUAAUUUAAAGGGAUACACAUAGGAAAAGAAGAAUUAGAAUUGGCAGUAUUUGCUGAUGAUAUUAUUCUAUACCUUGAAUAUCCAAAAAUUCCAACGGAAAACUCCUAGAACUAGUAAUUGAAUUCAUCAAGGUAUCAGCAUAUAAUAUCAACACCCAUAAAUCAAAGGAAAUCUGUAUAUCAAUGAGAAGUCCUCUGAAAGGGAAACUAGGAAAACUACCCCAUUUACAAUAGUCUCAAAAAAACCCCACAAAACCAAAUACUUAGGAAUCAACAUAAUGAAAGAGGUGAAAGACUUCUACAAUGAAAACUACAGAACACUAAAGAGAAAUUAAAGAAGACCUUAGAAGAUGGAAAGAUCUCCAUUGUUCCUAGCUAGGCAGAAUUAAUAUCAUCAAAAUGACCAUACUACUGAAAGUAGUAUACAGAUUUUAUGCAAUUCCAAUCAAAAUCCCAAUGGCAUUCUUCAUAUAAAUAGAAAAAGAAAUCAUGAAAUUAAUCCCCCAAAAUAAGGAGACCCAGAAUAGCCAAAGCAAUCCUUAGCAGGAAGACUGAAGCAGUUGGCAUCACUAUACCAGACCUUAAACUAUAUUACAGAGCCACAGUAACAAAAACGGCAUAGUACUGGCACCAAAAUAGACAUGUAGACCUAUGGUAGAGAACAGAGGACAAAGGCGCCAAAAACAUACAUUGGAGAAAAGAUAGCAUCUUCAACAAAUGGUGCUGGGAAAACUGGAAAACCAUAUGCAGCAAAAUGAAAUUAAAUCCCUCUCUCUUAGAGUGCACAAAACUCAUUCAAAGUGGAUCAAGGACCUAGGAAUUAAGCCAGAGACCCUGCACCUAAGAGAAGAAAAAGCAGGCCAAAAUCUUCAUCAUGUUUGGUGAGGUCCCAACUUCCUUAAUAAGACUCCUAGAGCACAAGAAUUAAAAUCAAGAAUCAAUAAAUGGAUGGAUUCAAACUGAACAGCUUCUCAGCAAAAGAAAUAAUCAGUGACAUGAAGAGACAGUCUACAUCCUGGGAGCAAAUUCUUACCACACAUACAUCAGAUACAUCACUCAUCUCUAGGAUAUUUAAAAAACUCAAUCUUAACACCAAACACCCCCCCCCCCAAAAAAAAAAUAAACCAAUCAAUAAAUGGGCCAAGGAACUCCAUAAGCACUUCUCAAAAUAUGAUAUAUAAUCGAGCAACAAAUAUAUAUGAAAAAGUUCAACAUAGCAAUUAGCAAAAUGCAAAUAAAAAUUAAGAUACCAUCUCACUCCAGUCAGAAUGGCAGCUAUUAUGAAGACAAACAACAAGUGCUGGUGAGGAUAUGGGGGAAAAGAUUCACCUGCAGUGUAUGAGUGUGACUGCAAAUUGGUGCAGCCAAUAUGAAAAGCAGUAUGGAGAUUCCUUGGAAAUCUGGGAAUGUAACCACCAUUUGAACCAGCUAUUCCUUUUCUAGGACUUUAUCCAAAGAAAAACAGCACACUACAGGGACACAGACACAUUAAUGUUUAUAACAGCACAAUUCACAAUAGCUAGACUGUGAAGCCAAUCUAGAUGCCCUUCAAUGGAUGAAUAGAUUUAAAAAAUGUGGCACACAUACACAAUGGAAUGUUACUCAGCACUAAAAAAUAAUAUCACAGCAUUUGCAGGGGAAUGGAUGGAAUUAGAACAGAUUAUGCUAAGUGAAGUUAGCCAAUCAAAAAAAAUUCUGAAUGUCUUCUCUGAUAUAAGGGGUUGACUCAAAAUGGGGUAGAGAGGUAGUGCAUGGGAAGAAGACUAUCUCAGAUAGGGAAGAGGGAUGGGAGGGAAAGGGAGGGAGAAGGGGAAUUUGCAUAGAUGGUGGAAAGAGACCCUCAUCAUUAUACAAAAUACAUGUAUAAAGAUGUGAAUUUGGUGUAAACAUAUCUUGUAUACAGAGAUAUGAUAAAUUGUGGUAUAAUGGUGUAUUAAAAAUUGUAAUUCAAAAAUAAAUUAAUUAAUUUUAAAAAAUCAAAAAUCUAGAAAAAAAUCUAGAAAAACUAGAGAUAAUAGAAAGACAUUUCAAUAUUUUAAACCUAUCUAUGCUAAGCCAAAGGCCAAAAUCAUUCUAAAAUUAAAAAAAAAAACAAAACUUGAAAACAUUCCCUCUGAAAACUAGAACAAGACAGGGAUGCCCUCUUUCACCACUUCUAUUUAAUAUAGUUCUUGGAAUUGUAGCCAGAUCAAUUAGAGAGACAAAAUGAAUUAAAACACCACAUGGACAGGAAAGGAGAACUGUGACUGGAUUUAAUUAUACUGGUUACAGUGGACAACUACGUAUAUAUUGAUCCCAUGAUAAGCAUGCUGGCUAUCUCGGGGUAUCUUUUGAAGAAAAGACAGCAUAUGGGGGUUUAGAUUGGCCAAUUGUACUGGACUCUGUGACUCUAAGCAAUAUGUCCAAACAGUUAUUAAAAUGGGACUUUCUCAUAACAAGCCAGUCAUUGCCACAGAACGUCUGCCAAUACCUUACUGUCCUAAUCAUUCUGCAAUAGAAUUUGGCACCUUUCCUAAAUGAAUAAACUGUGCAAAUGUCUUGCCAGUACAACAAAAAGUUCUAGAAAUAGUGGACAUAUUCUAGACUGGUCUCCAGGAAUUGACAAAAGACAAUCACAUAAGGAUGCCAUGAUCCCUGGAGGUUUUGUUGGUAAUAUUCUAACCUUAAGUGAAGGCGGUAUCCAGAAAGGUGUUUGGAGCUUAAUUGCAGACUCAGAUUUCCUAUAUCACACUGACAACCCUAUGCCUGGCUUUAUAGGCAGGGGGUGUAAAGAGGGUUCCUGGUAUGGCCUGAAGGCCUGUGUUCAAUCUCCUUAUGCUUUAAUUACUGGAAAUGUGAGAGUUAAGAGAAAGGAGGAUAAAUAUCUUGUAGCCUGUAAAAAGUGCAAUUUACCUAAUUGCAUCACUAGAUAUGCCAUCUGACUAUGAAGGUCUGUGUUACUGCAGCCAAAUAUAAGCCUUCCCAAUGGGAUUUGGAGAAGGUUAAAUCAUCUAAUGGGCAUUUUGCAUAGAAAAUAAUAAAUAGCCUGGAUCUUAUGGAGUUACAUCACAACAUCCAGGAUAUUCAAAAAAGCAAAAUCGAUCUAUUGGAUCCUACUUCUCUAACUGGAAAUACUUCAAGAAUGGGAUGGCUUUAACCCUGGAAACACACUGAAACACUCUGCAUGGAAUAUUAUUGGAAUGAGGUGUUUGCUACUAGUUCUUUUUUGUAUUGUGAUAAUAGGUGGCUGUCACACCCUUAGAACAAGAAUCUGGGAACUAAAAAUAAUGGCUCAUCAUUUUCUAUUGCAUAGUAAAAAGGGGGAAUAUUCAGAGUGCCAUCCGUGAAUUACUUGAGGGUCUUCUCUGGGUAUGGAGCCAUGGAGAUUUAGGUCUAACCUUGAGAACUAUCUGCAGCUCCCCAGAGUGCACUAGAUUAACCAAGGCACAUGACCCUAUCUCUGCUCUACCAGGAAGACUCCUCUUCUAGCUCUGUAUUUGGGCAUAACCCAUUGGAACUGCAAAGCCCACCUUCUACCUUAUUUGGCAAAGAACAUUCCAAUGAAAACCUUUGAUAUUCCCUGAUAUAAAUAAAGCAAAUGUGGGCUCCAUUUUGCUCUUUUGAGUGUGGAAGCUUCAUCCCUAAGAUUGGCUAGCCCAUCCCACUCCUGCUUUUAAAAUUACUUUCUGUAUCCUGUGCAUUUUUUCCCCUGCUUUACCUUUCUUAGCUUUCAUUUUGCAGCCAGACCAUUCAAACAAGAGAAACUCUAUUUUUACCACCUGCAGUUUUGAAUUCAUGAACCUCUUGCCUCAGCCUCCCAAGUCACUGAACCACUGUGGUGGGCUAUUGAUUGCUACUUUUAUAUUUUUAUAUUUAUUUUUAUUCUCAUCCUGUCUUUGUUUUGGAAUCUAAAGUGAAUCUGACGUAGACAGAAUAAUUUUGUUGGAUUCUAGGUUUUAUACCCAAGGGUGUAACACUGAGCUACAUCCCCAGCCACUUUUUAAUAUUAUUAUGUUUUAUUUUCAGAUAGUGUUACACUCAGUUGCUGAAGCCAGCAUCUAACUUGUGAUACCCUAGCCUCAGUCUCACAAGUAGGUUAGUGACAGCAUUGCACCACUGUGCCCAGAUGAUGAUGACUUUUAGAGGCUCUCCAUAAGUCACUGAAUUUGCCCUCAAACUUGCAAUCCUCUUACCUCAGCCUCCUGAGUUUCUAGAGUCACAGAUGUGUGCUGCAUGCUCAACUUGAACAAUAUAUUUUCUAAAAUUGGAACAGAUUGGAUCUAUAUGCAGUAAUAGUAAUGAAAAAAGUAAUAGUAACGAAGCAAACGCUUCUUCUAUGUUGCCACUUGUUUUCUACCUAUGUAUUUUUGGUUCAUCAAUUUUCCCAUUAUUGCCUAUUAAUGAUUAAUUUUUCUUCGGUACCAUUUUUAUUUUAUUUUCUCCUUUUGGCACAUGUUUUAGUUUUUCCUUAGUGUUUGUUCUGUGAACCCUAACAUCUUAAAUUUAUGACAAUCAGUUUUAUUCAUGCCAAAUUAGUUUCAAUAGUAUAGAAAAAUUUUGCUAAUCUUACAGAUUUGUCCCUUAUUCCUGAUUUUUAUCUUUGUCAUAGACUAUAACUUCAUGCAUUGUGUGUCUUGUAUGGCUUGGAUAUCAUUUGUCCCCAAACAAGCUUAUGUUUUGGACACUUUGUUCUCAUUAUGGUAGCACUGAGGCAGGGGAAACUUUCAAAUGUGCUGUCUACUGGGUGUUAAUUCAGUCAUUGGGGAAGCCACCCUUAGGAGGAAUGGAUGCUAGUCUCUUGGAAUGAGUUUUUGAGAAAAUGAGUUGUUAUGAAAAAUCAAGACUGCCCCUCUCUGAUCUGUGGCUCAUAUUGGUCCAUAUUAUUUUUCCUCUUUCACUUGUCCCCACUCUGAUGACAGCCAUCAUGCUGGAAUGGAGCACAGUGGGUACUCCCCAGAAGCAAAGUGGAUGUCAUCCCUUUAUCUUGGACUCUCAGACUCAAAAAUUCUGACCUAAAUGACUUUUUAAUCACAAACUACUCAACCUUAGGUAUUUCCUAAUAGCAAUAAAAAGUGUAGUCUUGUAGUCAUUCAGCAUCAAUGUUUCUUUGGUUCUAAGUGUUAUUUAUGUGUUCUAAGUGUUCUAAGUGUUAUUUUUGCACUCAUUUAUUUUUUUAAUUUUAUUUUUUUAAAUACACAACAGUGCAAUACAUUGAAAUUCUUAUUACACAUAUAGUGUAAAAGUUUUUACACUUAUAUUUUUAAAACAAAUAGAAAAGAGUUAGAAACUAAAUACUCCAUGGCACUGGCUAUAUUUAGCUACCAAAUUGAGCUGCUGAGCUACAUCUACCAUUAUUUCUCAUUAUCUUAUGUGGACUCAAGAUUCUGUCUUUUAUCAUUUCCUUUAACCUUGAUGGCUCUAUUCGCAUUUCUGGAAAAGUUGUUUACUCACCACAAACAUUUCCUUUUACAAAUCUUCCCUUAUCAAUUAACGCACAGUUUAGCAAGGUAUAAAAUUAUUGAUGGUUAAAAAACAAGUUUCAUCAUGUCCUCCCACUGUCUUCCAGCUUCUUGGAUUUCUAGGGAAAACCACUAAUGCUGUCUUGUACCUGAUCAACUGUUUCUCUCUGACCACUCAGGAGAUUGCCUCUCAGUAUUUGUUUUACAGCAAUUCGACUCUCAUAGUUCCUCUUAUCCAUGGUUUCCCUUUCUGUAAGCUAUAGACAAUUCCAGAAUGAGAAAUUCAUGAGUUUUAAAUUGCAAAGUGUUCUGAGUAGCGUGAUGCAGUCUCAUCCCACCACACCCCAGCCCUCCAGGGGCACGAGCCUCUGCCUUCUCCAGCAGUUUCCCAGUUGAUAUACUGUUUUUGUAAUACCUUCCUGUUAGUUGCUAGUUGCCAUGUUUGUUGAGAGAUUGACUGUUGUGAUAGUGCUCCACUUGUGUAGAAGAGAACAUCUCUCCAAUUACUCAUGCACCACAUUCUGUUUGUGCACACAUUGCAUUGUUAGCACCUUGGAGCUUAAGAAUAGAAGACACACCUUGAGCCUCUCCUAAUGGAAAACAUGAUUUCCCAUGAGACUAUGACCCAAGAAUUUGGGAUGUGUUUAAUAAGUUUAUGAUGAACCUUUUUCUCAAAUAACCUCAAGAAAAAGUACCAGUGACUAGGAAGUCAAUUCUACUUCAUUGUAAUGCUAAAAUGUCCACCAGGAAGGAAGUUGAACCUCGUUUCCAUGGUAUAUGGUUGUAUGCCAAAGUGUCCUUUAAGAAAGGCUUGUGUGUAAACAAGGCAGUCUGGUGCAUGCUUAACUCCCAGGAUUGAACCUGGUUUCAUCUGACAAAGCAAGGUAACCCACACCUGCAAUGCCACCAUGAUCUGAGGGAUGAGGUAUCAGUCCCUGGGCAUAAUGAGGAGCCACUGGAGGCCCUUGAUCUCUCCAAAAGGAAAAUUCUACAGUCGUUAUUCAUGGAAUAAUACUACAUCAUUUGUCAGGCACAUAGACAGACCUAUUUAGAAAAGCAGAUACACAUUCAGGAAAGAGGGGGCCAGAUACAGUGAGGUCGGUAGUGAGCUUGCUUCACAUGCACAAGGUCCCAGGCUCAAUCCCCAGCACCACAGGAAGAAAGAAAGGAAAAAAUGUGAGAAACUCUAAAGGGAGAGACAGCAAAUUCAAGGUUGGAGGUGUUGCUAUUUGGAGAGGGACAUUUAAGUCGGGAUGGACUAGAGAUGGGACCAGAGCAGACUUCUGUAAUUUCUCACCCAUUUUUCUAAGCUUGCUCAUACCAUGCUAGUAUUUGGGGGUCCAGGAAGCUGGUCUAGGAGAAAUGUUGCAUUGCAGGUAUUUCCUUUUUUAAAAAAUAAAAAUCUGAUCUUUAUUUUUAAAUAUAUUUUUUAGUUGGACAGGAUACCUUCAUUUUAUAUAUUUCUUUUUAAUGUGGUGCUGAGGAUUGAACCCUAUGCCUCACUGGUGCUAGGCAGAUGCUCUCUCACUGAGCCACAAUCCCAGUCUCUUGUUUUUAAUUUCAAAUUUUUUGUAGGCAUUCCUGCAUUCUGGUGAUUUAUGACCUUCUCCUUUGAGGUUCAGUGUAACUUUCUUAUUGGUAUCCCAACAUUUCUGCCCCAACCAGACAUGUUCCACAGUUCUUUAUGGACCUCAAGUGUUACUAGAGGAAUGAUUAAAUGAUCAUUUAGUUGUCAAAGCAAAUAGGGCAGUGUUUUCAGGAUGGAAGUUUUAAGAGAAUGCUCAUUAUUAGAUUUCUAUUUUUACUUAUGUAUUUAGCCAUGGACUGAUAUGGUUUUUGCAGUCAUCCACAAAUGUGGUCCACAAACCAGCAGAUUUCAGAAAUUUUUCAUGUUGACAGCUAUUUUCAAAUGGUUGCAUUCUGAUUGAGGCCCAUUUGGCCCAGGGUAAACAUUAAGAUGCUUUUAAAGUGCUUAUGAAUUUUCCUGGCUAGAAUAUUACAGAGGGUCUUGCCAGUUUUCUCGCCACUUUUUUUUUUUUUUAAAUCUCAUUGGUGUUGAAAAACCUCUCAGAUGCAAGGGAUGCACCCCAGAGGCAAGCUCCUGCAGAUGGCCACCUACAGACCCCCACACCCACAGAUCCUAUUCUCCGUCCCCAAUUAAUUGGGUGUCAGGUGCUGAUGGAUUGUUAAUUAUUGGGUAAAACCCAGUGUUUUGCCCCCAAGGAGCCCAAGGUCUUGCUUGUUGGUUAUUGGAACCACUGGGUUGGUUAUUCACAUUUGCUUGCCUCUCAAGACAAAUCUGAGCUCCAUCCACAGACCUAUAUCUAGUGGCACUGGUAGCUUAGGAAAAUUUCUCAUUUUGGUUAAGAAACCUAACAGCAAGAAUAAUUAAUAAUUUCCCUCUUGGGGGAAUGUAGGGUUCUGGCCCCAAGGUGUCCCCGGCUCUUUCCCUCUUCUCACCCACAUACAUCUUCUCUUCAUCAUGGGCAAGUCAACCGUGUACUGCUCAUCCCUGGAAUUCUGGGCAUGUGCCUUCAUCUUCUCCAUCUUCCUUGAAGAGAAAUGUCCCCAUUUCACAAAUGCAGCAAAACUGGUCCCCCAAAUACCUGGGCUGCUAUUACUGAGAAGCAAAAGUAAAAUAUAGUGAAAAUGGGGGCUGGGGCUGGGGCUCAGCCAUAGAGCUCUCGCCUAGCACGUGCGAGGCACUGGGUUCCAUCCUCAGCACCACAGAAAAAUAAAUGGAUAGAAUAAAGGUAUUGGGUGCAACUCCAACUAGAAAAAAAUAUUUUUAAAAAAUACUGAAAAGGCAACAUAUUCUAGCAAUUAGGGAAAUGCAAAUUAAAAUUGCACUGAGAUUCUCUUUCACUCCAGUAAGAAUGGCAAUUAUCAAGAAUACAGUAACACAGUAACAGUAAAUUGGUGAGGAUGUCAGGAACAGAGAAUGCCCACACUUUGUUGGAUAAACUGCACAUUGGUGUAACCUCUCUGGAAUGCAGGAUGGAGAUUCCUCAAGAAAUUAGGACUGGAACCACCCUCUGAAUCAGUUAUCCCAAUCUUCAGCAUAAAUACAGAGGAUAAAAUCAGCAUACUACAGGGACACAGCCACAUCAAUGUUUAUGAUAGCACAACUCACAAUAGCUAAGCUAUGGAGCCACCCUAAAUGCCCAUCAACAGAUGAAUAGAUAAAGAAAUUGUGGUAUGUAUAGAAGCUGGAAUAUUACUCAGGUUUAAAAAAGGAUGACUUCAUAUCAUUGGCCAGUAAAUGAAUGGAUCUGGAGCUUCUCAUGCUAAAGUAAAAUAAGGCAAUCCCCCCAAACCAAAGGUCACAUGUUUUCCCUGACAUGUGUUAUAUACAUCACAAGGAAUGUGGGGGGUAGGAAGAGAAUUUCAGUAGAUUAGACAAAGGGGAACAACAGGAAGGGAGAGGAGAUAAGAACAGAGAAUACCAUAGCAUGAAUCGACCAUAAUGUUCCUAUUCAAAUAUAUGAAAAUACCUAAGUGAAUCCACCCAUCUUGCCCACCCACAUGAAUGGGGUGCUAAGGAGAAUAAGGUAUAUUUUAUAUUUGGAUAAUUUUAUCAAAAUGGAUUCUAUGGUCAUGUAUAACUAAGACGAACCAAUAAAACAGAAAAAGUUAAAAGUACUAAAAGGACCAUGGGACCAAAUUGAUAGCAUCAUAGCUGGAUGAGGAAAUGUCUUUAGGUACAUUCCAGAAUUUUCUAAACCACUCCCCCAUUGGAUGCUACCAAAGGUGUUGGAGCCUGUGGGAAGGUGGAGGUUCAGGGUGCUGCUUGGAGAAGAUAGGACCCCCCCAUUCAUCUGCAGGUGCAGGGGUCCCAGGGGGCAGGUAAUCUUGAGACCUCCAUGGUUAACUAAGGCAGAGAUGAGCAGGGUGCAUUCAAGUCUAUGGAGUUAUUUACCAUAUUAGGAAAACCAGGAAUUGUCUUUCCUGGACUCCCAAUCAAACGCAAAUUGUUUUUCCUUAAAGAGAGAGACCCUUGAGCCCCUCUUAACAAGAAGUCUUCUCUGUAUUAUGUGACUUUUUUCACCACUGAAUUGGGGAGACAAGACUCAGAGUUCUCUCUGGAAAUACAUUGACUUUGUUUGCAUCUUCUGUCUUGUCAAGUGCAGAGUAUUCAGCUGAUACUAAGGAUACACACCUGGGCAGGGUGUCUCUGAUUUUAGGAGGAGGCAGGAUCCCAUUGCCUGGGAUCCAGGGAACUGGCAGGAACCAGGAAGAGCACCCAGGGUGGCCUUGAUCUGUGCCAGGCUGUUAUCCUGUGGCCACUGCAGGUAUUUCUCUCAAAAAGAAAGAAAGAAAAAAAAGUGGCACACGCCUGUCAUUGCAGCGGCUGGGGAGGCUGAGGCAGGAGGAUGGUGAAUUCAAAGGCAGCCUCAGCAAAAGCAAAGUGCUAAGCAACUCAGUGAUACCCUGUCUAUAAAUAAAAUUCAAACUAGGGCUGGGGAAGGGGCUCAGAGGUCGAGUCCUCUGAAUUCAACCCUCAGUGGCCAAAGAGCUAGGGAGCCCAGUGCAGCUGGGGUUUACCCAGGUCUGAGCUCUCCAGGUCUCUUAUGUGCUGAUCUCCUUACUCUGCCUCCAGCCUCAACGUGGGCUGAGAUAUAGAUUCAACUCAGCUGGAGGAACAUCAGCUUUCAUGCUGCCAACCGGAUGCAGCCUCCUCCAGGGCGCCAGUCAGGCGCCCCAUGAGCCUCUACCAGCGCGGGCCUUGACGCACUGGACAGUUCCCAAGGCGCGAAAGGCCAGUUCUGCUUGGAGAAUUUUGCACAGAUUGUUAGAGACAAGUCGGCAGCUCAAAGACGCUUUGUGUGGUGAAACUUUCAAGAAAUGACUUCAAUUUCCUAACAUCAAAACUGAACAGAACUUAGAAUUCUGGUACCCUAACCCUAACCCAAUGCCCAGACUUCAAAAGGAAAAGAAAAAAGCUGCAGCCCGACCCUGCCAUUCUGGCCUCCUUCUUGCCUGGAGCGGAUAUCACCCCCCUGUCACUCAAAAAGAAGGCUGGCUGGGCUCAGGCUGGGGAGAGCGGAGACUGACUGACGCCCUGUCCAAUCAGAAGCCCCGGUGCUGAGCGCUGUCCAAUCCUGAGCGCUGUCCAAUACUGAGGGCAGUCGGCGAGCAAGGGGGCGGGCUUCCGCGCUCCGGAAGAGGUUUAUUUCUCUGCGGUCCGCGGUUCCCCUCAGAUUACUGCAGUUGGACUCCAAGCUUCGCUCCUGCCCAGGACGCCGGGUGGCCCUGCCAUGCAGGGGCCUAAGCUCCUCUGGGCAGGCUUGGCUGCUGGGAACCAGGAAAUGGUGAGUGUGCAGUGGCACCUGGUGCCUGGACAGGGAGGCUCUGGAGGUAGGCCGGACAGGGAGGACGUCCCGCGGGACCUGCAGUGGCGGGAGUCCGAGCUGGCCCACUCCGACUCCGGGCGCUCUCUGCGGCCGCAGGCCUGAGCCCCUUGGGGACAGUGCCCUUCAGUCCCCCUGGCCAGCCGGGUGGGGAGCGUGACAGUGGUGGAGACCCCUCGCGGCCUCCCCAUACCUUGGGGGCAGCCUUAGCCCCUGCUCAAGUCUUAUGUGGCAGGUGAGCGCGGCUGCCUGGCCUCUUCCCGGGCUGAGGUGAUUGACAGGUGGGACCACUAGAAGAAUCCAAUCUCCUAGACCAGCGAUGGCACACACCUGUCAUCCCAGAGGCUGGGGAACGGGGGGAGAGGCCAGCCUUGGCAACUUGGCGAGGCACUUAGAGACUCAGCUAGAUGAGACCCUGCCUCUAAAUAAAAUGCAAAAUCCUCCAAACCCCGUUUUCCUGCAGGAGGGGAGCUGCGGUGUACAGGGACCCGCUUAUUCCUGAGCUAGUUUUGUCUAGUUUGUUUUUUGUUUUGGUAGUUAACAGAAGGGUGCUUUACCACUAAGCUCUGACCCUGGUAGUUUUUAGUUUUUAUUCUGAGCGCAGGUCUAGCUAAGAUGCUGAGGGUGGCCUGGUUAGGGUUUGAUUGAUAAUGAUUUUUCCAUUACAAUUAAGUGUAUGGUUUUUACAUCCACGUGGGUUCGUGGGUGGACUCUGUUGACGUCAUGAUUCCUUGAUGAUAAUUGUAACAGUUAUACCAGGAGCCUCCUAUUCCGGUAUAAUUUUGAAACAUAAUCCUGCUCAACAUGUGCUUCUUCAGGGUGCUGGAGUAUAAUCCAGUACCACGCAUGUCCUCCACCGAAGCCCUACCAGUACUCUGCGCCUCCAGUUCCCACACCUCCCUUCAUGCUGGGUUGUCUUAUUCACUCACAUCAAAUCCUCUCCAGGAGAUGGUUGCAUUUAUCUAGGCCUUUUCAUUGCACUUCAUAAUAAAAUUGACAUUUACAUACAUAUGGAGUCAUCUAUGAAAUUUCUGCAUUUUGAAUUUUUUUGGUCCUCAAAUUACUGCAAUAUGAUAAUUUUAUAACAUGCAUUAGUGCCUGGUAAUGUUAGCUCCUGAUUUUGCUCUUAGAGUUCAGAAUUCUUGGCUAAUUUCAUUCAAUUUAACUUUCCAGGAGACUUUUCAAACUGUUUGCUCUGGUCCCUUCUUCAAUGAAAAGGAAAUCAUGGUGAAAUUUUGAUGGGGUGUUAUCCUAGAUGAACCUGAGGGAAGUGGCCAUCUUUAUAAGGAGGAAUUUUAUCAUUCAGUCUCUUACGUGCUGAUCUGUAUUUGCAUUUUUUCAAAUUCUGCAGGUGUCCUUUUAAAAAUAUGGUGAUAUGCGAAAUGUGAUAUUUAUAUGACAUCGAUAUAAAACUGAUAUGUGUUUCAUAGUAUUUGUCAAACUGUAUGCAAUAUGGCAAAAAAAAAAAAUGUGGCUGAUUGCCAGAAAUGGUUAUUUCUGGAUGGAAUUUCCAGGGUGUCCUACUACUGAACUAUAUCCUCAGCCCUUUUUAAAUUUUUACUUAAAAAUUUAUAUUUUAAUUUAUUUCUUAAUUUAAUUUUUUAAAAUUACUAUUCUAUAUAUAUAUAUAUAUAUAUAUAUAUAUUUUUUUUUUUUUUUUAAUUUAGGCAGGGUUUCACUCAGUUGCUGGGAUCAGCUUCACAAUUGUGAUCCCCCUGCCUCAGCCUCCAGAUCACUGGAUAUAUCAGGUAUGUAGCACCACAUGCAUCCUAUCUCACAAUUUCUUUCUUUUUUUAGGAUGUUUUUUAGGUCUUGAUUUAAUUUUAUAUAUUGUUUUUAUUAUUUUUUAAAUACAUGAUAACAAUGGACUGCAUUAUGAUCCUUAUUACACACAUAGAGCACAAUUUUUCAUAUCUCUGUAUAUAAAGUAUAUUCACGUCGUCAUCUUAUGCCAUUAUACAUGUACUCAUUUCUUCUGCAUUACAAUUCUUAAUACACAUGUAUAACACAAUUUUUCACCUCUCUUUGUAUGUAAGGUAUGUUGACACCCAAUUCAAGUCUUUAUGCAUGUAUUUUGAAUAAUGAUGUUGAUCAUAUCAUUGUAUAAUGAUAACCAUCACCUUCCACCAUCCUUGCUAAUCUCCUUCCCCCUCCAUUUCCCUCCCACCCCUCUGCCCUAUGUAGAAUUAUUCUAAUCCUCCUAUGCUCUUCCUCCCUACCCCACUGUGAGUCACCCCCAUAUAUCAGAGAAAAUAUUUGGCAUUUGUUUUUUUGGGAUUGGCUAACUUCACUUAGCAUAAUAUUUUCCAACUUCAUCCAUUUACUGGCAAUUGCCAUGUUUUUAUUCUCUUUUAGUGCUGAGUAAUAUUCCAUUGUGUAUAAAUGACAAAUUUGUUUUUAUGCAUUCGUCCACUGAAGGGAAUCUAGGUUGGCUCCACAGUUUAGCUACUAUGAAUUGUGCUGCUAUAAACAUUGAUGUGGCUGUGUCCCUGUAGUGUGUUGUUUUUAAGUCCUUUGGGUAAAUUCCGAGAAGAGGAAUAGCUGGGUCAAAUGGUGGUUCCAUUGCCAGAUUUCCAAGAAAUCUCCAUAGUGCUUUCCAUAUUGGCUGCACCAAUUUGCAAUCCCACAAGCAAUGUAUGAGUGUACCUUUUUCCCACAUCCUCGCCAACACAUAUUGUUGUUUGUCUUCAUAAUAGCUGCCAUUCUGACUGGAGUGAGAUGAUAUCUUAGUUUUUAUUUGCAUUUCUCUGAUUGCUAGAGAGGAUGAGCAUUUUUUAAUAUAUUUGUUGAUUGUAUAUACUCUUCUGAGAAGUGUCUGUUCAGGUCCUUGGUCCAUUUUUUUUUUUUUUUUUUUUUUUUUGGUGUUAAGAUAUUUGAGUUCUUUAUAGACCCUAGAGAUUAGUGCUCUAUUGCUGAGAGCCAUAGCCAAGUAGGAAUGACGCAUGGCAUUUUUGGGUUGAACGGUGACCCUGCUCAGGGAUUAGGGUGGCUCUGGGUUUAGGGUGGAUCCUGCUGGGAAUAGGGCGGUUUAGGGCAUAUCCUGCUGCCUCAGGCACCUGCUCUUUGGAGUUCCUGUUGAGUUCUCCCGGGGUUCUGAGAGAAUUGGUGCUCGGAGCGGGUAGAGGCAGUGUGUUCCCAGAACGUGCGUGUAGACUGCGGUGAGAGUUCGGGAAUAAAGAGUUGCUGUUUGAAUCUACAAGGCUUUGUGGUGGCUUGGUUAUUUUGUGCCCAUCCAGACUGUGGCACUCUAUCUGAUGUGGGAGGGGUCAAGAUUUGCUCCUGGAUGUAGGCUCUCUUUUUUUUUUUUUUCUUUUUUGAUAAAAAACUUUUUAGUUUGAAUCCAUCCCAUUUAUUGAUUCUUGGUUUUAAUUCUUGUGCUAUACAAGUCUUAUUAAGGAAGUUGUGGCCUAAUCCCACAUGAUGAAGAUUAGGGCCUACUUUUGCUUCUGUAAGAUGCAGAGUCUCUGCCUUAAUUCCUAGGUCCUUGAUCCAUUUUGAGUUAACUUUUGUGCAUGGUGAGAGAUAGGGGUUCAUUUUCAUUUUGUUGCAUAUGGAUUUCCAGUUCUCCCAGCACCAUUUGUUGAAGAUGCUAUCCUUUCUCCAGUGCAUGUUUUUGGCACCUUUGUCUAAUAUAAGAUAGUUGUAAUUUUGUCGGUUGGUCUCUGUGUCCUCUGUUCUGUACCAUUGGUCUACCAGCCUGUUUUGGUGCCAAUACCAUGUUGUUUUUGUUUCUAUUGCUCCGUGGUAUAGUUUAAGAUCUGGUAUAAAGAUACCACCUGCUUCACUAUUCCUGCUAAGGAUUGCUUUGGCUCUUCUGGGUCUCUUAUUUUUCCAGAUGAAUUUCAUGAUUGCUUUUUCUAUUUCCAUGAGGAAUGUCAUUGGGAUUUUGAUCAGAAUUGCAUUAAAUCUGUAUACUGCUUUUGGUAGUAAGGUCAUAUUGAUAGUAUUAGUUCUGCCUAUGCAAGAGUAAGGUAGAUCUUUCUAUCUUCUAAGGUCUUUGAUUUCUCUUUAGUGUUCCAUAGUUUUCAUUGUAUGGAUCCUUUACCUCUUUUGUUGAUUCCCAGGUAUCUUUUCCUUGAGGAUAUUAUGAAUGGGGUAGAUUUCCUCAUCUACUUCUCAGAGGAUUUGUCACUGAUAUACAGAAAUGCCUUUGAUUUAUGGGUGUUGAUUUUAUAUCCUGGUACUUUGCUGAAUUCUAGUUCUAGAAGUUUUCUCAUGGAGUUUUUUGGGUCUUGUAGGUACAGAAUCAUAUCAUCAGCAAAUAGUCCUAGUUUAAGUUCUUCUUUUCCUCUACUUAUUCCUGUAAUUUCAUUCAUCGAAUUGCUCUGGCCAGUGUUUCAAGAACUAUGUUUACUAGAAGUGGUGAGAGAGAGGGCAUCCCUGUCUUAUUCAGAUUUUAGAGGGAAUGCCUUCAGUUUUUCUCCAUUUAGAAUGAUGUUGGCUUGGGGCUUAGCAUAGAUAGCCUUUACAAUGUUGAGGUAAGUUCCUGUUAUCCCUAGUUUUUCUAGUGUUUUAAACAUGAAGGGGUGCUGUAUUUUGUCAAAUGCUUUUCUGCAUCUAUUGAGAUGAUCAUAUGAUUUUUAUUCAUUUUAUUGAUUUCCAUAUGUUGAACCAACCUUGCAUCCUGGGGAUGAAUCCCACUUGAUCAUGGUUCACAAUCUUUUUGAUAUGUUUUUGUAUUUGAUUUGCCAGAAUUUUAUUCUGAAUUUUUGCAUCUGUUUUUUAGAGAUAUUGGUCUGAAGUCUUCUUUCUUUGAUGUGUCUUUGUCUGAUUUUAGAAUAAGGUGAUUUUGGCCUCAUAGAAUGAGUUUUGAAGUGCUCCCUCAUUUUCUAUUUUAUGAAAUAAUUUCAUGAGUAUUGGUGUUAGUUCUUCUUUAACGGUCUUGUAUCCAUUGAGUCCUGGGCAUUUUUUUUUUUCCCUAUUGGUAGGCUUUUGAUGGUGUCUUCUAUUUCAUUGCUUGAAAAUGUUCUGUUUAACUUGUGUAUAUCAUCCUCACUCCGUUUGGUUAAAUUAUAUGAUUGUAGACAUUUAUUGAUGUCUUCAGUAUUUUCUGUUUUAUUGGAGUACAAAUUUUCAAAAUAAUUUCUAAUUAUCUUCUGUAUUUCUCUAGUGUUCAUGGUGAUAUUUCCUUUCUCAUCAUGGAUUUUAGUAAUUUGAGUUUUUCUCUACAUUAGCAUGGAUAAGGGUUUAUCAAGUAUAUUUAUUUUUUUCAAAGAGCCAACUUUUCAUUUCAAAAAUUAAAAAAAAUUCAAUUUAUAAAAAAUAUACGGCAGCGGAAUGUAUUACAAUUCUUACUACACAUGUACAGCACAAUUUUUCAUAUCUCUGUAAAGUAGGUUGACACCAAUUCAUGUCUUCAUACAUGUAAGAUAGAUAAUGAUGUCCAUCACAUUCCACCAUCCUUGCUAAUCCCUGCCCUCUCCCUUCCCACCCCUCUGCCCUAAAUAGAAUUUAUCUAUUCCUCCCAUGCUCCCCCUCCCUACCCCAGUAUAGUCAGUUUCCUUAUAUCAGAGAAAAUAUUUGGCAUCUGUUUCUUUGGGAUUGGCUAACUUCACUUAGCAUUAUCUUCUCCAAUGCCAUCCUUUUACCUGCAGAUGCCAUGAUUUUAUUCUCUUUUAUUGCUGAGUAAUAUUCCAUUGUGUACAAAUGCCACAUUUUUUUAUCCAUUCAUUUAUUGAAGGACAUCUAGGUUGGCUCCACAGUUUAGCUAUUGUGAAUUGUGCUGCUAUAAACAUUGAUGUGGCUGUGUCCCUGAAGUAUGCUGUUUUUAAGUCCUUUGGGUAUAGACUGAGGAGUGGGAUAGCUGGGUCAAAUGGUGGUUCCAUUCCCAGAUUUCCAAGGAAUCUCCAUACUGCUUUCCAUAUUGGCUGCACCAAUUUGCAUUCCACCAGGAGUGUAUGAGUGUACCUUUUCCCCACAUCCUCGCCAACACUUAUUGUAUGUCUUCAUGAUAGCUGCCAUUCUGACUGGAGUGAGAUAAUAUCUUAAAGUACUUCUUAUUUGUGUUUCUCUGAUUGCUCGAGAUGAUGAGCAUUUUUCCAUAUAUUUACUGAUUGUAUAUCUUCUGAGAAGUGUCUUUUCAGGUCCUUGGCCCAUUUCUUGAUUGGGUUAUUUGUUUUUUCAUCUACCAGGGUCUUUUAAAUCCUCUGUCCUGGACCACAGCUGCUUCAUUUGAUUCCUCACAUUAUGAAGCUUCCAGCAUCUUGGACCAAGCUGUUACCAGUUUCCCAGUGUUGCCAUCCUGCAGGCAAACAUUUGGUGACUAUUCCUCCCAUGAUUAUGUGAGUAAAUAUAAUAAGCUCCCUUCUAUACACACAUCCAUUUUUAUGUAUUUUAUUCUCAUUUUCUGAAGAACCUUGAAAAAUACAGGCAUAUUCUCAACAAAAUGUCUGGGUCGUAUGGCAUCUCUAGUUUUAAUUUUUUGAAAAAUAACCCUUAUAGUUUUUUAAAUAUCUAUUCAAAUUUAUAUUUCUGGCAAGGAUGUCAAAGUGUUUCCUUUUCUGCAUAUCUUCUGCAGUAUGUGUUACCUACCAACAUUUUGAGAAUAGCCCACAAGCAUGUGGUUAUAGUUCAUUGUGAUAUAACCUGAAAUCAUAAAAAUUCUAGAAGAAAAUGAGAAGAAUUUUUUUCAUUCACGUUGGCAAUGGUUUUAAAUAGAACCUCUUGAGAAUGUGCAAGGAAAAAUAGAUAGGUGAGACUAUAUAAAGCUAAAAAUGCUUCUGUGCAGCAAAGGAAUCAAUCAAUGAAAUGUAAAAGUAGACUGUGGGUAAAAGAAAAUCGUUGCUAGCCAUAUGUCUGAUAAAAGCUCAGCAUCCAAAAUAUAUGAAAUUUAUACAGCUCACCAAAAAUAAAAAAAACAACAAACCUUUAAUUACCUAAUUUAAAUAUGGUAAAAUACUUAGAUUCUGCCCUAAAAAUUAAACAAGUGUUUCAAGACAUAUAAAACCUACUCAAGAAUAUUAAUUAGGCUAACUAAAAUUAUAAUUUACUUUAGCUUCUCUGCUUCAUUUAUCUCACAGGAUUAUGUGUGCACACUCUCUGUCCUGCACAGGGCAUCCUGAGACAUUGUUCAAUUCACAAAAUGCCAGGUUCUCAUUUCCCCACAUUGUGCUUUCUCAUCAUAAUUGCCAAGAAAGUCUGAAGCCUGGAAAACAACAACAUAUGGAUAAAUUGCAAGAUAAUCAUCAACUUUGAAAAUUACUUCAGGAAUCAAUAGAAUACUUUAGCAGACCCAGAUGUGAAGAAAUAUAAAGUAGACCUACAAAUUAACAUUUAACUUAAUUGCAAAUAUUUUUAUGAGCAUCUGAAAAGCUGAUCAUGGUAGCAUACGCCACUAGUCCUGGCAACCUGUGAGGCUACAGUGGGAGGAGGAUUUGGGCUAAGGAAUGUGAGGCCAACCUGGCAAAAAUCCAGCUCCAAAAAUCAACCCACCAAAAAAAACCAAACAGUAAUCACAUUUUUUUAAAAAAAGGUGCCUUCACAGGCGAUUUCUGGCAAUCAUGUAAUAAGAGAUCAGUAAGAAUAAUUCAUGAUUUCAUCUAAAAAUAGAAGAAAAAAAUGGACUAAUUCUUUCUGUAAGGCCAGAAAUACCAAAUAACACAACAAAAGAAUGGAAAUUGCAGACCAUCUUCCUAUAGAUGUUGACCAGAUAUUCAAACCCCUAGAAAACUGAGAAUAACAACAAAAAUAAAGAUUGGACUUCAUGACCAAGAGGGACAAUAUGUAAGUUUCCAAAAAUCUUUUUGAUAGAGAAAAGCUUUUGGCAGAUUACAUACUUAUGUAAUUUAUUGUAAAACCUAUGGCCAAUUAAGACUAGAGGACAAUUCUUUGUCAAUCCACUAAAGGGCAGCUGUGAACUGUUUUCAUAUUUAAUGGUGAGAACCUAAGUGUUUGACAAUUUAGUUUUAGAAAAAGGAAAAAAAAAUGUAUGGUUUCCUGACAUCUAAAUAUUGUUCUAAGAAUACUGAAUAGCAUUUUAUACAUCAAAAGUCAAAUAGCAUAUGCAGAUGAUAUUCUUAUUUCUAUAAUAUUUUUAAGCAAUUUCCAUGCACUAAUGAAACAUAAGACCUAAAUUAGUUCAAUAAUGUUAUGGGUUAAAUGGUCAACAUUAAGUCAUGUAAUUUAUACACACUAGCAAUGGGCAGUGUUAAAAUUGAGGCAUAAAUCCAUUCACAAAUAUAGGAAAAAUAAUUUAAAAUGAAAGUAAUAACAAAAGAACUGUUCACUGCAAAGUAAAAAUAAAGGGGAAAGUAAAAUGCAAAAAAAAAAAAAUGGAAACAAAUUGGGAAAACAGUUAAUAUUCAAUGAUCAAAAGUUUGAUUUUGUUAAAACCACAAUAUUCCACAGUGGGUCUGCAGAUUCAAUAUAAUGAGGCCAAAAUCCAAAAGUCAUUUUGUAAAAAUUACCCAGCUGACUCUAAAAUUAUAACAAAUGCAAAAAAAAUUAAAUAACUCAAUAUUGAAGUAAAAAUUGUGUGACUUUUAUUGAAAAUGUGCAUUGCAAAAAUACAUUGUGUAGGAUAUUAAAUUUGGUUAAAUACCUCUUAAAUUGCUGAUGACCAGUAUUCCUUAUGCAUGAAGUGAGGGUCUGUGUUAAUGUAGGCAAGAAUUAGGCUGGGAUUGACUUUUGUCAUCACAGGUACUAUCUGCUGAGCUUGAGAAUGUCUAUUGCUUUCAUGAUAACUUUUUUCUGCCUCCCAGAUUUUCUGCACCUUACCUACCAUCGAUGUUCUGUCUCUUGUAUUUCACCCAAAUAUAUCCCACUGGGUAUCAGGUAUUGAAAUUCACAUAUAUUCCUGCUCUUCCUGCAGCUGAGAACUAAAAAAACAAUGCAGUUCAAUGUCUUGUUGAGUGGUUGAAAGGAUUUGUCCUUGAUCCUCACACAGGCUGAAGUGUGUUUUUUAUUUUUAUUUUUUGAUUUAAAACAAUGACAGUGGAAUGCAUUACAAUUCUUAUUACAUGUAUACAGCACAAUUUUUCAUAUCUCUGGUUGUAUAUAAGGGAUGUUGGGACCAAUUUGUGUCUUCAUACAUGUACUUUGGAUAGUGAUGUCAUCACAUUCAACUAUCACUGCUAAUCCCCUACCUACUUCCCCUCCCCUUCCACCCCUCUAAUAGAUGUAGAAUUCAUCUAUUCCUCCCAUGCUCCCCCUCCCUACCCCACUAUAUUCAGCUUCCUUAUAUAAGAAAAACCAUUCAGCAUUUGUUUUUUGGGAUUGACUAACUUCACUUCUCCAAUACCAUCCAUUUACAUGCAAUUGCCAUGAUUUUGUUAUUGCUGAGUAAAAUUCCAUUGUGUAUAUAUGCCACAUAUUUUUUAUCCAUUCAUCCACCAAAGGGCAUCUGGGUUGGCUCCACAGUUUGCUAUUCUGAAUUGUGCUGCUAUAAACAUUGACGUGGCUGUGUCCCUGUAGUAUGCUGUUUUCGAGUCCUUUGAGAAUAGUCCGAGAAGAGGAAUAGCUCGGUCAAAUGGUGGUUUCAUUUCCAGAUUUCCAAUACUGCUUUCCAUAUUGGCUGCACCAACUUGCAAUCGCACCAGAAGUGUAUGAGUGUACCUUUUCCCCCACAUCCUCAGCAACACUUGUUGUUGGUCUUCAAAAUAGCUGCCAUUAUGAUUGGAAUGAGAUGAUAUCUUAGAGUGGUUUUGGUUUGCAUUUCUCUAAUUGCAAGAGAUGAUGAACAUUUUUCCAUAUAUUUGUUGAUUGAUUCUAUGUCCUUUUCUGAGAAGUGUCUGUUCAGGUCUUUGGCCCAUUUCUUGACUGGAUUAUCUGUUUUUUUUUUUUUGUUGUUGUUGUUGUUGCUUAGCAUUCUGUGUUAUUUAUAUACCCUUGACAUUAGUUCUCUAUCUGAUGUAUGAGGGAUAAAAAUUUUCUCCCAGAAUGUAGGCUCUCUGUUCACCUCAGAUUUUUUUUCUUUUUCUUGCUGAGAAGAAACUUUUUAGUUUGAAUCCAUCCCAUUUAUUGAUUCUUGGUUUUAAUUCUUGUGCUAUAGGCAUCUUAUUAAGGAAGUUGGGGCAUAGCCCCACAUGAUGAAGAUUAGGGCCUACUUUUUCUUCUAUUAGAUGCAGAGUCUCUGGUUUAAAUCCUAGGUCCUUGAUCCACUUUGAGUUGAGUUUUGUGCAUGGUGAGAGAUAGGGGUUUAAUUUCAUUUUUUUUUUUUUUUUUUGCAAAUGAAUUUCCAGUUUUCCCAGCAUCAUUUGUUGAAGAGGCUAUCUUUUCUCCAAUGCAUGUUCUUGGCACCUUUGUCUCAUAUAAGAUAAUUGUGAUUUUGUGGGUUAGUCUCUGUGUCCUCUAUUCUGUAUCAUUGGUCAAUCUACCAGCCUGUUUUGGUGCCAAUACCAUGCUGUUUUUGUUUCUAUUUCUCUGUAGUUUAAGGUCUGGUAUAGUGAUACUACCUGCUUCACUCUUCCUGCUUAGAAUUGCUUUAGCUAUUCUGGGUCUCUUAUUUUUCCAGAUGAUUGUCAUGAUUGCUUUUACUUUUUCUAUGAGAAAUGUCAUUGGGAUUUUGAUCAGAAUUGCAUUAAAUCUGUAUAGUGCUUUUGGUAAUGUGGUCAUUUUGAUAAUAUUAAUAUUGCCUAUGCAAGAGUAAGGUAGAUCUUUCCAUCUUCUAAGAUUGUCUUUGAUUUCUUUUUUUAGGGUUCUGUAGGUUUCAUUGUAUAGAUCUUUCACUUCUUUUGUUGAUUCCCAAGUAUCUAAUUUUUUUUUGUUUUGAAGUUACUGUAAAUGGGGUAGUUUUUCUCAUUUCCUUCUCGAGGCUUUGUAACUGAUAUACAGAAAUGCCUUUGUUUAAUGGGUGUUGAUUUUAUAUCCUGCUGCCUUGCUGAAUUCAUUUUCUAGUUCUAGAAGUUUUCUGGUGGUGCUUUUGGGGUCUUCUAGGUAUAGAAUCGUAUUGUCAGCAAAUAGUGCUAAUUUAAGUUCUUUUCCUGUAGUUACUCCUUUAACUUCUUUUGUCUACUUGCUCUGGCCGCUGUUUCAAGAAGUAUGUUGAAUAGAAAUGGUGAAAGAGGGCAUACCUGUCUUGUUCCAGUUUUUAGAGGGAAUGCCUUUAAUUUUUCUCAUUUGAAUGAUGUUGGCCUGAGGCUUAGUGUAGAUAGCCUUCAUGAUGUUGAGAUAUGUUCCUGUUAUCUCUAGUUUUUCUAAUGUUUUGAACAUGAAAGGGUGCUGUAUUUUGUCAAAUGGUUUUUCUGUGUCUCUUGAGAUGAUCAUAUGAUUCUUAUUUUUAAGUCUAUUGAUGUGAUGAAUUACCUUUAUUGAUUUCCAUAUGUUGAACCAACCCUGUAUCCCUGGGACAAACCCCACUUGAUCUUGGUGUACGACCUUUUUAAUAUGUUUUUGUAUUCAAUUUGCCAGAUUUUUAUUCAGAAUUUUUGCAUCAAUGUUCAUUAGAGAUAUUGGCCUGAAGUUUUCUUUCUUUCCUUUGUCCCUGCCUGGUUUUGGGAUCAGGGUGUUAUUGGCCUCAUUAGAAGGAGUUUGGAAGUGCUGCUUCUUUCUCUAUUUCCUUAAAUAAAUUGAAGAGCAUUGGUGUUCUUGUAGUUCUUCUUUAAAGGUCUUAUUGAACUUGGCUGUGUAUCCAUCUGGUCCUGGGCUUUCCUUGGUUGGUGAGCUUCUGACGGCAUCUUCUAUUUCAUCAUUUAAUAUUAGUCUGUUUAAAUUGUGUAUGUUUCCUGAUUCAAUCUGGGAAUAUCAUAUGACUUAAGAAAUUUGUUGAUGCCUUCAAUGUCUUCUAUUUUAUUGGGGUAUACAUUUUCAAGAUAAUUUCUAAUUAUCCUCUCUAUUUCUGUAGUGUCUGUUGUGAUAUUGCCUUUUUCAUCAUGUAUGCUGGUAAUUUGAAUUUUCUCUCUCCUUUUCUUCAUUAGCAUAGCUAAGGUUCUGUCAGAGAACCAACUUUUUUUCAAGGUUUAAUUGUUUCUUUUAGUUCAAUUUCAGUUCUAAUUUUAAUUAUUUCUUGCCUUCUACUGCUUUUGCUGUUGAUUUGUUCUUCUAGGGCUUUGAGAUGAAGUAUGAGAUCAAUUAUUGACUUUUUCUUCUUUUAAGGAAUGAACUCCAUGCAAUGAAGUUUCCUCUUAGUACUGCUUUCAUAGUGUCCAAGAGAUUUUGAUAUGUUGUGUCUAUGUUCUUGUUUACCUCUAAGAAUUUUUUAAUCUCCUCCUUGAAGUCUUCUAUAACCCAUUGUUCAUUCUUUUGUACCAAAUUGAUUCACUCAUUGAACUGCUUAUAGAACUUGAAAUAUUUCAAGUUUGUCUUUUCACGAGGUGGAAGUGUCACUUUACAUGUCUCUAAACAUUAAUAUUUUAUGAAUAUUUUACACAUUGGGAAUGUGUCAUGGAUCAUACUUGAAACUAAUUGUAUUGGGGAGCUCAAUCUAUCUCAUGGAUACAAAGCAGAGAGAAUAGCAACCAGACUGUUUUCAAAAGCUUUUUUACCACUCUUUUUGUCUCCCUUGGGCACAAUCACCUUAUGAGAAUAUCUUUGGCAAGUCUGAUUUGCAUCUGGAAUUUCCGCCAAAUUUCACAUUCACUGAUGGCAGAAGAGUUAGGAGUUGGACUUUUAUUCAGUGCUUGGAUUAUGGUAUAUAUCCUUCACUUCACUCUGAUAUGGAGUAUAUAUACUGUUUUUGGACUUAUGUAUUUUUCUCUUAAUUAGAUAAUGGAAAGUAUCUUAUUACAUAAUUAAAGUCACUCUCCUACAUGACAGUCAAUUCUACUAACUCUUAUUUCAAAUUAAAAACUGAAUAAUGGUUUGGUCCAAGUUCUAUUGAUGUAACAAUUUUUAUUUCAGGAGCCAUUGACAUUCGGGGAUGUGGCCAUUGAUUUCUCUGAGGAGGAAUGGGAAUGCCUGGAUCCUGCUCAGCAGAAUUUAUAUAGAGAAGUGAUGUUGGAGACCUACAGCAACCUGGUCUUUGUGGGUGAGCAUAACUUUCCUUCAAAAUUCCUAUUUAUCAUUAUUUAAUUUUCUUCCCUUGAAGUAUAUCUUUUGGGAACUUCACCAUAAGAAUGAGAUUCAGAUUCAUGCUUUCAAUAAAAAAGAUGUGGUAGUUCUUGGUGCUGACAAGAAAAUGUUAAUGAUGUUUUUUUUCAUCCUUAAUGUUUACCUUUGUUGGCAUGAUAUACAUCCUUCACUUGACAUAUGGUUGACUUAGAGGAAUGCAGUGAUGUCAAAUCCUGUGACCCACAUAUAGCUUUGAGGACAUAGUUGAGGUAGAGGAGGAAGCCUAAAUUCAAAAAGGUUGAUUGAGAAGUUAUCCAGAAGAAAAGAUUUUUGAGAAGCUUUGAUUUCUUUCUUUUGUUAUCAUAGAAGAACCUGUCCUGUGUUUUGUGCUUCAAAAUUAUCUAGUCUCCGGCUUUUCCUCCAAUAUUGUCUCCAUACAUGCAAAUUAACAACAAAACACUCCCCUUGCCUUGUGUCAAUAUUAUCUGACAGCUCUUCCAUAAUUUUUUAAAAUAUUUUUUAGUUGUUAAUGAAUUUCCCAUUUAUUCAUAUGUGGUGCUGAGGAUUGAACCCAGGGCCUUAUAUGUGCUAGGCAAGUGCUCUACCACUAGUCUACAACUCCAGCCUCUCUUCCAUUAUUUACAGGAAAUUUUUGCACAUUUCUGGAGACCUCUAAGUCAAACCAUUGUAAUACAUUACUAUCAUAAGUCAGUUUCUCUGAUCUUAUUUGUACAUUUUUUUUUUCACGAAAAUUUCCUUAUCAGAGUUCUUUCUGAAUAUGUGUAAUGGAUUUUCUGUGAAAUUAUCUGCCGUGGAAUGAAUGUCAAGAUAGCAAAGACUGUUCUUUUGAGAGAUGCUGUAAGUUGUAGUUGAAUAAGAGGAUUUGUAAAAUAAUACAUCUGUGGAUAUUUACAAUUUGGAUGGUUAAUUUUUUUCUUUAUUUUUUCGUUGUGUCCAGUAGGUUCUGUGUUACAGACUGGGUUUCCUCAUAUCAGUUAAUUGCUUCACAAAUUACGAUAUGCAUGACCCUGGUUGAUAUUGCCAAUAAUGUUAUAUGUUCUUUUGCUUGUAUAAAUAUUAAGCCCCUUUUGUCUAUGACUUUUGUAUUUUAUCUUGAUUGAGUUUUCAUUCUGCCCAUGUACGUAGAAAUUGAAGUUGUCUAUAUGUAAGUGUAAUGGGGAUUGAUGGCAGUGAUACUCUAAUGCUGAACUACACCCCAAGCUCCUUUUCAUUCAUAGUUGGAGAGAGGUUCUCACUGCAUUAUUGAGGAUGUCUUGAAAUUGCAAUUCUCCUGCCUCAGACUUCCUAGUAGCUGAGAUUACAUGCAUGCCCAUCAUUUGUAUAUUGAUGAGUUUGUUCUUAUUUAUAGGAUGAAAACCACAUUAUUUUAAAUGUAGCUUGAGAAAUGUUGCAAAUCUCUUUAUCUUUUAAUUUUUAUUGUAAUCAAAACCACAAAAUAAAAGUUACUGUCUCCAAAAUUUUAAAUAUACAGUUCAGUAACAUGAAUUCAAAUUGUUACGCAAUGUAAAUCUAAAAACUUUACAUCUCAAAAAAAUAUCAAUUCCUAAGAAGCAAGGGCUCAUUUCUGUCUCCCCAUCACAAAACCAUUCUCUUUUGUUCAGAAAGCUUUUUUUUUUAGUUUAGAGAUGUCAUAUUCAUAGAAUUCUGCGAUAUUUUUUCUGUGACAUAUUUCAGUUAACCUAGCAUACAUACAUUUUGUAAAAUAUAUAAUUAGAAUAAAUCUUUGACUUCAAAGUUCUAUAGUUUCUAUAUUCCAAAUUGUCUCAUCCAUUCUUUUCAAGGAAUAUUUGGUUUGCAUCCCCCAUGAUGGCUCUGUUGUAUAAUAGGGUAACAACACUGGUGUGCAAUGUUUUUAAUUUGCUAUUGAUGUGAGGGCUUAUUACCACACUCACUCAGAACUCCAUGUACCUAACACCAUGCCUGCAUUUACAAUUGAAUUCUGUAACUUUUAGUAUAUUUUUUAGCAGGGAAAUAUUCUUCCAAUUAUAUUUGUAUUUUGUGGGAUAUUCAUACAAUUUAAAUGAUAGAUUUCUCUGCAAAAAAAAAAAAAAAAAAAUUAACAACGGGAGUUUGACAAAUAUUACCUGGAGCCUGUGGUUAACUUUAAGUAGUGUAAGCAUCUUUUAAUUUUAUCGUUCAAUUCUUGGACAACAGCAUGCCCAAGAGUGUUCAAUCAACUGACACAUAUUUAGGGAUUUUUGAACAUCCUUAUCACUUUUCACUUCAAAUUUUUAUUCCAUGUUGGUUAUAAAAUAACUAUCACUUAAAUAUUUAUUUACCUUUGUAUUAAUACAUAAAAUUGGUCUAUCCAACAUAAUAUCCCACUUGCAAUUAAGAACAGGGAUUCUAUUAGUCUACAAUAUUUUUCAAAAUAUUUUCAAAGUCUUAUACUUUGCAAUUACCAUUUUGCUUCACUGUAUUUCCCUUUUCAGUAAGUGGGGAUUGAUGUCUCCUAGGAUGACAGUGAUUCUUUGUUUUCAUUCAACUCUCUCAAUGUUUUCUUUGUGUGUUUGGGAAGUAGGAUGUACAUUGCCAAUGUAUUUACUCUUAAUCCUAGGAAAAGGUUCCUUCUCUCAAUUUUUGCCUCUUUUCAAAGGUUUUUUAAAAUUUAAAAUGUCUUCUAUGUCCUGUAACUGUCUUGAAAUAUGUUUUGUGUACUAUCAUUUAGACAGCCCAGUUUUUGUUCAGUCACUUUUGUAUGUGUCAUUCUUAUAUUGUUUUUCUUUCAGUAUGUGUGUGUCCUUAGACUUAGAGUAUCCUGUGGACUACCUUCAGUUGUAAUUUUUAGAUUAAUUCAGAUAGCCAAGGUUUGUUUUGAUCAGAUUUUGUAAUCUUGCAUUUGCCAACAACAACAACAAAAAUCUAAAAAUGAAGAAUCUCCUACUUAUACUUUGUAUGAGUAUCAACUUUACUUCACUUUAUUAAAAAUUAAUAUAUUUGUGGCUUUUCAAAACUAUAUUAUUGUUACAGGUAUAUAUGUCUAUUAACAGUUUUGUUUUUAUGCUUUUGUCUUUCAAAUUCUAUUGCAAAAUUACUUGUUUUGUGACCCAUCAUUACAAUAAAAUAGAGUUGUUUGUGCCAAGAAAUGUUUAGAAUUUCAUAUGACUUGUGUUGCUGUGCACACUUACAUUUUAGUAUGAAGGAUUACCUUUAGUACUUUGUGGAGAACAGAUCUAAUGUUGAUGAAUAGUCUGUUCAAUUUUAUAUCUUUAAAGUCUUUAUUUUCCUUCUCUUUUGAAAGAUAGCGGUUGUGAAUAUAAUGUCUUCAUUGAUAAUUUUAUUCUUUCAUCCCUUGAAAAUAGCCCCGAAUUCCUUUCUGUGUUGUGAAGUUUUGACUAAGGAUUUCACAAUUAUAUAGUUACACAUUUCUAGGUGACCCAUUUUUUUUCUCUUGGAUGCUCUCAAUAUUCUGAGUUUUAAAACUUGGAUUAAAAACCUGCUUUGAGUCUUUACAACUUGGAGAUAAUUGAGCUGCUUGGAUGUUUUAUUUUUCCUAUUUUAUUAGAUGUUUUUAUUAGUACUGGAAAGAGAACUUAAGGGCACUUUACCACUUUGCAUUUUUUACUUUGACUGCCUUGAAAUUUUGAUCUUCUGGCUCUUCUGGCUCAGCCUCCUAUGUUGCUAUGUAAAACCACCUCUGACUCUUUCAGACAUUUUCUAAACAAAGUCUUUAAACACACAUUUUCUGCUUAUUAACAAUUCUUUACCAAAUUUUAUUCUGUGUGUUGGUUAUUGUGUGUUGGUUUAGUUCAUUAAACUUCUUUUAAAUGAUUAUUUAAUAUUCCCCUUGAGUAAUUCAUAACUUUUUCUUACAGUUGAUUUUGCCAUUUUUUUUCUGUUGGUAAGCAGGAACCCCUUUUUGAACAAUCCCCAAAUAUUCACAUGUUUCUUAUUUUUUUUUUUUAAUGAAACAGAAGAAAUAUAUUGUGAAGGAGGAAAGGCUUAUAACACAAUUUGUCUUCUUCUACAAUAUAACUCUCCAUAGUAAGGUACUCAUCUUGGAUACUAUGAACACUAAGAUGAUUUGGAAAGUUUUCAAAGUAAUUUUCUUUGUACAUUUUUAUUUGAUUUAUAUAUUUCUGCAGUAAUGAUGGACUUGGAUUUAAUAAUUCACUCCCAUCCUGAUGUUCCUUUAUUGCUGUAAAUUCCUAUGUUUGCAAAAUAUAAUCAGCCCAGUACAGCAAGUAAACAUGAUUGUUAUUUUUAUUUAUUUCAGCCAUGACUUCUCAUCGUCCUCAAGAAAUUUCACCAGAGCAAAGAAUAAAAGAAGGAGAGGGAAGAUAUGGAAAGUCGGCCCUAGAUUAUUUACCACUAAGAAAACAAUGGGAAAAUAUAGGUGAGAGUAAAGUUCAAAAAUUGUAUUAUAAUGGACAAAACCAAUUAGUAGUCCCUAUUUAUGAUAAAAAAAUUAUGGUCACAAGACACCAGAAAAAAUUAAUAUCUGAAAAAAAAUCAAUCUAUUCCACUUACUUUUGAGGAGCUGUGUAUGGCUUUAAGAAUAUAUCCACAGCCAUUUUACAAAAGGAAAUGUGGAAAAUUUGAAAAGAAAUCUGGUCCAUGCAUAAGUUUUUAACUUAGCCAAUUAUAAAUGUAGCACUGAGUUAAACUUCCAGUCAAAUUUUUGCACAGAAAAGAUACUUGAAACUGAAAGACACAUUUCUAAAAGUGAUACUUUUGAGAGUUUCUUUACAAAAUGUCCAUUUUUUCUGCAGCAAAACAGUAAUUUCUCCUUGCACACAAAUGGACAAUGUUAAGAAUUGUAGAAAGGUUUCUACUUCCCCACUAUUGCUCAAUGACAAUUAUGAUACAGAUUUCUGGAAAGUGCUAUAAGUAACACCAUUAGCCAUGUAUGUACCCUGAGUAAUUACCAGUAUAUUUACAUUGGUGAUAAAAAUUAUGAAUAUAGAGAAACUCCUAGUCAUUUUCUAAAGGAAAAUUACCAUGAUGAAAAAUGUGGGAAAGUCUUGCUUCAGUUCUCAAAAACUAUUACUCAUCCAAAUAUUCAUAGUCAAGGCAAAACUUGCAAGUGUAAAGUAUGUGAAAGGGCUCUUAAUAACAGAGAAGAGCUUGCUCAAUACAAGAGAAUUUAUGGAGAAAGGGAGCCUUAUAAGUUUAAAGAAUAUAUCAAAGCAUUGGCUUGCUCAACAAAUUCUAAACACAGUAGAUACGAUGACAGUGAUAAACUAAAUUUAAAGAAUGCAGAAAAACUUUUAGUGAAAGGUUACAAUUUCUUAAGCAUCAGAGCAUUUUUGCUGAAGAAAAGGCCUGUAAAUGUAAAAAGUGUUGCAAACCCUUAAAAAAUUUUUCAACUCUUACUCAACAUCAAAAAAUUUAUUCUGCAGAGAAGACCUACCAAUGUGAAGAAUGCAACAUACUCAAGAACUUUACUCAACAUCACAGUGUUCAUACAGGAGAUACGCCAUGCAAAUGCAAAGAAUGUGACAAAACUUCUAAUAAAAGCUCCAAUCUUAUUUGUCACCAGUGCACACACCCUCUAGAGAUGCCCCACAUAUGUAAACAAGUUUGUGAAGCCUUAAAAAAUCCAAGCCUUAAAAAUCACCAGAGAAUUCAUACUGGAAAGAAGCUCUACACAUGUAAAGUGUGUGGCAAGAUUUUUAAUCAUAAAUCAUCAUUUACUGAGCACCAGCGAAUCCACACUGGAGAGAAGCCCUACACCUGUAAUGUAUGUGGCAAAGCUUUUAGAAGAAAGUCACAUCUUGAUGGCCACAACAGGAUUCAUACUGGAGAAAAGCCCUACAACUGUAAAGGAUGUGACAAAGCUUUUAAAAGAAAGUCACAUCUUCAUCGCCACAACAGGAUUCAUACUGGAGAGAAGCCCUACAAAUGUAGAGAAUGUGGCAAGAGUUUUAAUCAAAAAUCAUCACUUACUCAGCACCAGCGACUCCACACUGGAGAGAAGCCCUACAACUGUAACAUAUGUAGCAAAAGUUUUCAUCAAAAACCAUCACUUACUCGGCACCAGAGAAUUCACACUGGAGAGAAGCCCUACAACUGUAAAGUGUGUGGCAAAAGUUUUACUACUACAAACACACAUCUUGAUUGCCACAACAGGAUUCAUACUGGAGAGAAGCCCUACAAAUGUUAAGUGUGUGGCAAGAGUUUUACAAUAAACACACAGCUUGAUCGCCACAACAGGAUUCAUACUGGAGAGAAGCCCUACAAAUGUAGAGAAUGUGGCAAAGAUUUUAAUCAACAAUCAUCACUUACUUGACACCAGAGAACCCAUACUAGAGAGAAGUCUUAUAAAUGUGAAGAAUGGCAAAGCUUUUAAAAUUGAAGAUCACAUCUUACUAAACAUUAUAGAUUUUAUUCUGGAGAGAACUUUUACAAGUGAAAACAUUGAAACAGUGUCUUUAAGGAUGAAUCAACCCUUACUUCACAGUAGUUCAACACUAUUUAACACCAGAGAUAUGAUAGCACAGAAAUUAUACAAGUGUAAAAUAGGUGUCAGAGUCUCCAACAGUUAUUCACACCCUACUCAGGACCUCAGAAUUCAUACGAGUGAGAGGACAUGUGGAAAAAUUUCAGACAUUUUUUCAAUUUCUGAUCCCAUACCUGUAGCAAAUGUGGAGUAGCAUUUGUCCAAAGUAUGUACCUUAGAUAACAGCAAAAUAUUUACAAAACACCUUGACAAAUACAACAACUGUAAGUGUCUUAUGUAUAGCCCAUCUCUUGAAGUAUUUGGGACCUAGGAGGGAAAAAAUCAUUUAAAUGUAGAAAAUGGGUAAUUGCUUUUGAUAUUUGCUGAAAAUUUUCUUAACAACUUUAGCUGAUAUUGUAGAAAUAAUGAAAUACAAAUAUAGAAUAGUGCAUCCCUAAAUGGAUAUAAUUUUACUAUAAAUCAACAAUUACUAAAUAUUCUCAUUUCUCACAAUUGGAGAAAACAUAAUUCUCAUAGUUGAUUAUUUCAGAAAUGUCUUAAGAUUAUAUGAAGCUUUAAAUGUUUAAUUUUUAGUUUUGAACUUAGGGGCACUUAAUCAGUAAACUGCAUCCCCAGAUUUUUUUUCAUCAUUUUUAUUUAGAGAUAUGGUCUGCUAAGUUGGUUAGGGCCUCAGUAAGUUAUGGAGCCUGGCUUUGAACUUGAAAAACGCCUUCUGUAGUUCCUCAAGGGUCACUGGCAUGGACCACCAUGCCUGUUGUAUAGAGCAUUUUUACUUAUAUUUGCAUUACAUAUGUAAUUUGUUACUAAAUAAAAAUUGUGAAUUUUUAAUGUUAACCAUGUCAUGCAUUUAAUGAUGUUAUUAGGUCACAUACUUCCC
rnacentral:lncRNA from 1 species